UUAUCUAAACCUGUCGUGAGAGUAUCCAUGCCCUUCCAUGUUGCAUUACUCCAGAAUUGAUUAUACUUGAUCUCACCCCUGUCUUGGUCCCUAAAGUACUCCACAUCCUAUUGAAAGUCCACUAUUGGUGGAACAUCUUGCACUCUACCCAAUUAACGCAUUACUCUAAGAGGAGUGUAUGGUCGGGUACAAUUAAGCCACAACAAAACUAGAUGGGGGUCUAUGCUAGAUCCGACCAAGAUUACUUUCGGUCGAAACCAUAGAUAGGUCCACAAGACAUUGCUAUCUAUUCUUGAUUCAAGGAACUCAACCCAAGCAUCAACUUCUAUAGGCAAUGAGAAUUUAGCAAAAACCAUUCUAUGUUCUAUGGUUUCCACUCGACUAGGCAGAUAAUGGUAUAUCACAUCAAAUUUAAGCAAAGAAGGGGCGUGCAAAUGCUCUAUCAUCCAUAGUUGUAACACUAGGUUGCGCCCCUAAAAAAAUUGCAUACCCCCUUUUAUCUCGGUCAAAUCUUUGUAUAUUUUGACUAAGAUCAGAGGUACGAUAGUGACCUUGUCUCCCUUAUCCUUGUUAAAUAAGGCCAUCGCUAUAGAUUGCAACCGAGUAUUAAUACGCCUAUUUUCUAAGGGGAAUACCAAAGUGCCUAACAGAACAAAGGCAAAGACUUCAAGGCGAAGUUUCUCCCAAUUCUUCUUAGUUGUAUAAAAUUCAUCCCAAAAAGAAUCAAAACCGUCUAGGAGGCCAAACCGAGUAUACAAGUAAUCAAAAGAGAUCCAAGAUUGGUUAAGGCAACCCAGAUGGUCAUUAACUUUCGACCCAUAGCAGUAGAGAAACCUAUUUGGAGAGUGACACCGCGCUCAAAUCAUCAUCUUUUUAAUGUAGGAAAAUUUAAAUAAACCCAGAUAUCUCCGCCAGGGUAGGUGUCUUUUCACAACUCCUAAACCUAAAAACCAGACAAGUUGGAUCCCAAAAAUUCAAUGCAGCCUCGAUCAAGUUUGGACGGGGCAUGAUAGAUAAGAGAGAAGUGAGAGUGCCUAGCUUAUUUGAUAACUCGUGCCUUUCUGAGUAGUUGAACGUGUCCCACCACUUGAAUAACUUUUUGGGCACUUUAGAAACCAUUAGGACUUUAGACCUUGGAGGUAGAUCCAUCCUGUAACAACACACAAGGCUUAUGAUUUAACAAUUGAUAAAAGGGGAGAAGUUCCCGACCCUCGGGAUUUUGACACGUACAGGUUAUCAUACAGAAACAAACCACUUUAGACUUAGAUUAAAACAAAUGGUACCACUAAGUGCGGUCAGCCUACUUGGCCAAGAUUAACCGACGACUCUAGACCAGACUAAAAGGGGGAAGACACUAAGCUAGGACCAAGAUAGUGACCAAAAUAAAAUUUUACCGGACCCACCGAGGGUUGCCUACAUAUCCCGCCCCGAAGGACGAGAAUCAGGUACGCAUAGUUCGUCCCGCUUGGACAAUAAAGAAUUAAAUGACAAACUAAACCCUGAAUUGAGAGACACGACUAAAGACAUACUAGUAAAAUCUUUUUUGUGUUUUUAAUUAGAAACUAACACCAACAACUAUGAAAGAAAAAUCUUUUUGAUAUUUUCGUUAUACAAAAAAUGUACAAAGCUCCUAUUGAAAGAAAAUUUUUUUUUUUGGAGUUUUCGAAUUGUGAAUACUUACUAAAGAAAUAAAAGAAGAAUAUUUUUUAACAUUUUUGAUUUUUGGAAAAAGAGUGCAAAAAGUAAAAAAGAAAUAUUUUUUUUAAUUGUGAAAAGCAAAAGCCAUAAAGAACCCUAAAAACUAUAAAAAAAAAAAAUUCUUUUUCUUUUUUUUUUUCUCCUUUUUUUUCAAUAAUUUCUUGCCUACACACUUUGCUUCUAACUCAAGCUUUUGCCCAAAUCAGUCUGUCAAAUGGCCUCGUUACCCUUAAAGAUGCAACAUUUAGCACGCAGGGAUGCUUCAGAGGUGAGUCUUCUACAAAGGGCCAGGUGGGUUCCGCUAGAUCUCAAUAUGAUGCAAAUAAACAUGACCUAAAGGCUGACCUAUGCUGGGGUUUACUAACAAGGCUGUUCAGGGGAGCAUAUGGUCAAUAGUGGAUGCGCUAGCUUUCCACCCACUCCAUACCAGCCGACGGCUCUGCCUCCUAAAAAUAAGGGUGACUCAACUAUAGGUCGUGUACACAGUGUUUACUACAGAACUUGUUGCAGAAAGAAUUGACUCGGGUUUUAAAAAUUAUGCCAGAUAUAAAGCGGUAACACAUAAAAGAAAAACUGUAAACACGUAGCACGUAAACACUCCAUAAUGAGAAACAAAUACAAACAAUAACACAAACAAUGUCUAUACACUCAUAAUGUCAAAACAAAGCCGAUAUAACUCCAAAUAAGCUUAAAUUUUGAAAAGAUUCCCCAGCAGAGUCGCCAGAGCUAUCACACCCCUUUUUCGUACUCCAAAAGAUUGAUUUUAAAGUUUGGAAGGGUUUUAUUUAUUGAGUGACAAAAGAAAAAUAAUUUGUUUCGAAAAGAAUUAUUUACAUUUUUAACUCAGAGUCGCCACUUGGCAUUAUCCGGUGUGUCAAGUCACCUUUAAAAAAUCCUUUUCAAAAUGAUUUGACUCUGUAAAACUGGCUUGCGAAUAGAGAUUCUGGCUAAGAAAUUUUGUUGAUCGAGGGGAAGGUGUUAGGCACCCCUCGAUCUCGUGGUUUGACCACGGUCGCUUGGCGGAGUAUAUCGGCUAUUUUUGAUGCUAGGAAUGUACAAACCACAAAGAAGCACUUAAAGAAAUCAAUCCAACAAACCAAACAAAAUGAAUAAAAGUAUAGUGUUCAUUCCAAUUAUACAGUCCCAAAAUAAAUAAAAUGCAAAAAUAAAUCCUAUCUAACCUAUGCUAAUUCUAACUACGCUUCCUGGCUCUACCUGAUGCCUCGGGCCUUGAUCACGAUCCGCCUUUGCAUACAUGGUACGUCGGGGCAUUCCCCGGUGAAUAAGUACAACAAUCUUCGGGGCAUUCCCCGGCCAAAUGAAUACAUUUUAAUCCAGAUGCGAUAAACUAGAAAACAUUCAACCAAUUUCAACACUCACACAUUCAAUAACUCAUCAUUCCUAAAUUUUGCCUACCCCUAUUACUUGCCCAUCCUUUUUAAUGUACCAUAAUUCCAUCACAUUCCGACAGUAUUCAUGUGCAUUUUAAAUAAAGUAAAUCGACAACAAACUCAAAAUUAAUCUACGUUCAAACUUUAUUCAAUUUGUUAACCCCACCCCCAAAUGGAUUCCUUUGAUCAAUCAAUGAUUAACAAAUUCCUCAGUUCAAAUCACCUUUCACAGUCCCAAAACCAACAUCCAUACAUCCACCCAACGACAAAUCAAGCAUACUAAGCACAUGAGUCAUUCAUACCCACAAUAACAGUUAAUACUACUAAAAAUAUUCAAAACCACGUCAAAAAUUAAAACAAAUCCACAUUCGAGAUAAUCAAAAAGUAGAGUUAAGAGAUGGACCUUUGAAGAAUGAUUUCAUUGAUAAUAAAGUUUGAGAGAACCCAAACUUGAAACCCCAAAUAGAAUACCUCGACGGCGAUGAACCAAAAUCGAUAUUGGGAAAUUUGAAACCUUAAGAUGGAGAACGAAGAGUUGAUUGGGACAGGAGCCAAAUCCCCAAAAUCAGUAUGGAAACCAAUGAACCCAGAUAGAAAUCAUGCCAAAACAAACGAACCCGAACAUGAUUUUUGUGAGAAAACAAUUCCACAAGCCGAUUCAACUAGAAAUUGGUUAUUGGUUCUUAUUUUUAGAUAAAAAAGACUGAAAUUUGAGUUAACGGUGUUUGAAUCAGUCGAACAACAAUGGAUUCCAGCGAGUUUCAAUGAAAAACCAGGGAAAAGAAGCGACUAUCAUCUUAGAUUUGGAUCGACCUGAGGUUGGGGUCAUUAUUUUGCAUCGCCGGAGCUUCGUAGAACUCAAGCAAUGAUGAGAACCACAAAAACAGACCAGAUUCGUGUCACGCUUAGGCAAAAUCGCCAGAAUAGUACUCCAUUUUUGGGUUAUCUCCCCCAUUCUUAGAUCAUCUCUCUUGAAUCUCCUUCCUAAUCUCUACUCGUUCUCCAUCUUCUCAGCUUCCUCUUCUUUUUCUCCUCUCUUUGUUUCAUCUAUGUGUAGGUGUGUAUGAUUGUGAGAGUGAUGGGGAGUUUUUGUGUGUGCUCAAAUGUGAGUGAAGUCCGUUAAUCGUAAAAAAAAAGAAAAAAAAUCCAGAAUUAGAUGAUGGAUUCCAAAAGAGAAGAAGAUAAUUCUCCCUAUGAUGAAGAAUGGAUGAAUAGUAUAUGUUCUUUUUUUUUUUUGAAAGGUUCCCUCUCUCUCCAGUAUUAUGUGUGAAUAUAUCAAUAAAUGGAAAAAUAAUGGUCCUCAAUAAUAGAUGUCUUUGGGAGCAAGAAAAAGAAAGAAAAGGGGAUGGGUCCCCUCUCACGUGCUCUCUCCUUGUGUAUUGUCUUUAUUUCUUUUGGAGAAGAAAAGUUGGGAGAUCACGUGGAUGGGGUAGGGUAGGAGGGUAUUGGGUGGUGAGGUGUUGUCUUUUAAUUUGAGGGGUAGAGGUUAGGUGUCCAUUUUUGAUUGAGUGGGUUGUUGGAAUAUUUAAGAUAAGACAAAAUUAGUUAGGGUUUGAUAUUUGGAUAAAAACAAAACAAAAGAAAUAAAUAAAUAAGUAAAAUAUGAGGUGGUUAUUCAUUUGUUCUUCUUGAAGAAAAUUAUAAGAUGGGGUCAAAGUGCAUGAUAACGGAGCAAUAAUUAUUCUCGACGGGACAAAAUUAUGUGUCAACAAUCAAGAUAGAUUUAUGAUGUGUUGAAAUGGAUAGGCAAUAUAGGGUCGAGUAGGCAAAUUUUAGAACUUGUUGUUUUGGUUGAAUGUUGGAAUGUACGUGUGAAUGUUUCUUUCUAGUUUAUCAUAUUUAAUUCAAAUGUAUUCAUUUAGCCGGAGAAUGCCCCGAGAAGUACUUGUAUUAUUUUAUCUGGGGAAUGCCCCAAAGUAUUUUGUACUCGGAGGACAUCCGUGAUGAAGGCCCGAGGCAUCGGGUGAGGCAUUGGAGCUUAGUCUAGGAUUAGUUUAGAAUAGAAUUUACAUUUUCAUAUUUUUCUAUUUUUGGGACUGUAUAACUCGGAAUGGACACUAUAUUUUUGAUUCAUUUUGUUUUGUUUAUUGGUUUGAUUGUUUUAUGUUUUUUUGUGUGAUUUGUACAUUCGUAGUGUCAAAUUAACCGAUACACUCUACCAAGCGACCAUGAUCGAACCAAGGGAUCGAGGGGUGCCUAACACCUUCCCCUUGGUCAAUAGAAUUCUUUAACCAGGAUAUCUGUUUGCAAACCAGUUUUAAAGAGUCAAAUCAUUUUGAAAAGGAUCUUUCAAAGGUGACUUGGCACACCGGAUUACGUCAAGUGGCGACUCUGAGUUUUGAAUAUAAAUAAUCUUUUUUGAAAUAAAUUCUCAUCUUUUGUCACUUAAUAUUAAAACCCUUUCAAACAUUAAAAAAUAUAAUCUUUUUGGGUUGAAAAAGGGGUGUGACAGCUCUGGCGACUCUGCUGGAGAAUUUUCAGAAUUCGAGCUUAUUUUUGGAGUUGUAUCGGCUUAGUUUGACAUUAUGGGUGUAUAAACAUUGUUUGUGUUAUCGUUUGUCAUUUAUUUUGUCAUUGUUGAGUGCUACAUGUUUAUAGUUUUUCUCUUGUGUGUUACCUCUUUAUAUCUAUCAUCAUGUGCAUAACCCGAGUCAAUUCUUUCUGCAACAAGUCCCGGAGUACACAUCGUGCGCACGAACUCUAGUUGAGUCACCCUUAUUUUAGGAGGGGGAGCCAUUGGAUGCAUGGAGUAGGUGAAAAGCAAGGCAACCACUAUCGAUCAUAUGCUCCCCCGAACGGCCUUAUUAGUAAACCCCAAUGUAGGUCAGCCUUUAGGUCAUGCUUAUGUGCAUUAUAUUGAGACCUAGCGGGACCCACUUGGUCCUUUGCAUCCCUAUGUGCUAAAUGUUGCAUCUCUGAGGGUAAUGUGGUUAUUGUUCGGACUGAUUUGGGGGGGGGGGAGGGGAAGCAUGUGUUAGAAGUAAAGUGCGUAGACAAAACAAUGUUGAAAAAAGAAAGAGAGAAAAGAAAAAAUGAGUAAAAAAAAAGGGUGUCAUAGUUUUUAAAGUUAUUUAUGGCUUUUGUUUUCCAAAAUUCAAAAAGAAUUUUACCUUUUGCACUCAUUUUCUCAAAAAAGCAAAAACGUCAAAAGGAUUUUUCUUUUGUUUCUCUAGUGAGCAUUCAUAACUCAAAAACUCCAAACAAGAUUUGUUUUUCAAUAGAAGCUUUUUAUAAAAGGAAAAUUCAAAAAGAUGGUAGAAGUUUUGGACAUUUCAUAUAACGAAAAUACCAAAAAGAUUUUCUUUCAUAGUUGUUGGUGCCAUUUUUUAUGUGAAGUGUCAAAUUGAAAAUUCAAAAAAAGAUUUUUGUUAUGUUGUUCAUCGUGUGUCUUUGGUCGUGUCUCUAGUCAGGGUGCAAUCUGUUAUUUAAUCGUUAAUUGUCCAAUCUGGACGAACUACGCACCUCUGAUUUUCCUCUCUUGGGAGUGAGAUACGUAGGCAGCCUAUUGUGGGUCCGGGGAUCUUAUUUGAAAAAUUCAAAAAAAGAUUUUCUUCACUCUUCCUUUAAAGUAGGUGUUUCCUGUACAUCUUUAAAAAAAAUCACAAAAAGAUUUUUGUUAAUAGCUUCAAAUCUCAUUUUCAUAUGAAAUUCAAAAAUUGGAAACUCAAAAAGAUUUUUCUUUGGUAAUCAUAGGUUUCGUUUUGUAUAGGGUGUUUAAACCUGAAAAAUGUAAAAAGAUUUUCGUCAAUUCUUUUGACAAUUUAUUAUUUUUGAAGUUUCUGAAAAAGAAAAAAGAAAGGAAAAAGAAUUAAUUGGCCAUUUUGGCAAGACUGCAUGAACUACGCACACCUGAUUCUCCUCUCUCAGGAGUGAGAUACAUAGGCGCCCCUCUUGGGUUCGGUGACCUAUUCAAAAAGAAAAAAAGGUUUUGAAAAAAAAGUGUUGAAUUCUAACGCAUUUUCUAUCUCUUGUUCAGUUAGUUUAAGGUGGUUGGUUUGUGGCAUUUUGGCUGGUCCUCCAUACUGCACCAAGUCACAGAGAAAGUUAUGGCCAACAAGGAUAUCGAGUUUGUUGUCACUGAUCAGAUAAGGAGUUCGGGCAAUGAGAAUUUACGAGCUAAUGAAGAGAUUCAAAAAUUAAGGCAAUAAAUGAUAGAAAUGCAUCGAGCUUGGGCUAAUGGGUUUCCACCUCUUCCAUUUCCCGCUGAUAAUCUGGAAUAUCUUUCUAGCUUACCUCCAGUGUCACAUACAUAGUUUCCUAUUUUUGUUGACACACCACAACAUGCAUCAGGACCUGUUCUGGGGCAACACUAUCCAAAUACUUCCAAUAUUCAUUUCCUCACUCCUCAACACAAAGCUACCACAUGCUUGGCUCCACCCACUGUUUAUGUUUUUGCAGCACCCCGCUCCCCACCCGAAGCUCCUACUAUUAAGGUUUAUCCAUAAGUUGUGCCUCCCCACCCGAAGCUCCUACUAUUAAGGUUUAUCCAUAAGAGAGCCUGUAUUGAAUAUUUUUGCUGAUCAACAUCAUGCUAUUAAGCCCACAUUUAAUUCGACUAAUCCUUAUGGCUAUACUCACCCGCCUGAAUUUUCUCUUAACACUGAGAAGCCUAUUAUAACAGAAGAACAAGAGGAAAUGACCAUAAAAUUGAAAAGCUUGGAACUAGCUAUGAAAGACCUCCAGGGACUUAGGGGGUACAAAAGUGUCUCAUAUAAAGAUCUGUGCAUGUUUACAGGGGUUCAUCUUCCUUUUGGUUUUAAAAUGCCAAAGUUUGAGAAGUAGGAUGGACAUGGCGAUCCUGUAGCAUAUUUGAGACGUUAUUGUAACCAACUAAGGGGUGCUUGGGGGAAGAAAGAAUUACUCAUGGCAUAUUUCGGUGAGAGUCUUUCAGGCCUAGCUUCAGAAUGGUUUGUUGACCAAGACAUCGACAAGUGGAUUAGUUGGGAUGACCUAGCUAAUGAAUUUGUGCAACAAUUCCAAUACAAUGUAGAGUUGAUUCCUAAUGAGAAAUUCCUAACUAACAUGAAGAAGAAGAGUACUGAGACUUUUACAGAGUAUGAGAUUAGAUGGCGUGAACAAACUGCUAGGGUGAAACCGUCAAUGAAAGAAAGCAAGAUAGUGGAGGUAUUUAUUCAAGCACAGGAUGAAACAUAUUAUCAACAUGUGUUAGCUAAAUUAGGCAAGCCAUUUAUUGAGGUCCUUAAAAUGAGGGAGAUGAUAGAGGAUGGAAUUAAGACCGGCCGCAUUGUGAGUUUUACAACAUUGAAAGUGACUACUCAAGCAAUUCAAAAAGGUUCGGGAAGUGUCGAAGGGAAGAAGUAUGAGAAAGAUGCAUUUGCCAUUGUAGUUGGACAACAGGCACGGGUAAGAGGACCACACCAUCGUUACCCACAGGCUCAAAUCCAAGUUUAUGCCCAAGCUCCACAGAAUCUUUCCCAAAAUCCAUUAUACUAUAUUUCCUCACCUACAUAUCCAAUAUACAAUGCACAACCCUAUGGUCAAUUCCUUUCUUACCGACAAUGGCAUGCACCAACUCUUCAGAGUCAUCCUCAAACUUCAUAAACAUACCAAAGCCCUUCUAGGUUUGAUUUUUGAUCCAAUCCAAACAAUGAAAUGAGGCAGAAGUCAAGAGAUAGCUUUACACCAAUUGGAGAGUCAUACGCCAGUUUAUUCUAGAGAUUGGUACAAUAGGGCAUGAUCACUCCUCUCCUUGGGUAUACUUCUGACCCACAUUCAAUAAGUUUUGAUGCUAAUGUAUGAUGUGCAUAUCAUUCUGAUGUUCAGGGUCACAGUAUGGAAGAUUGUCGUUCUUUGAAAGAGAAAUGGAAAAGAUAAUUCAAGAUAAAUCAAUUAUGGUGCAGACCAUUGACAGUAAGGAAAGUUCUAGUCAUGCUGAUAUGCAAACCAGUGGCUAAGAUGUCAGGCAGAACAAUUGAGAAGUCACCUCUCUCCCUACUAGGAGGUCUGGUAGUAUGUUUUAUUUUAUUUUUUGUUGUCCGAAUUAUUUCAGGAUUGUAGUUUGGGAUCUAUCUUGUUUUGUCCCUUUUUCGUUAUGUUCAAACCCUAUCUUUUAUUUUAAUUAAAUGGAGUGUCCCUUUUCCUUUGUAUUUUAAAUUUGUGUUGUUUGUUUGUUUUCUUUACAUAGCACAUUUAUGUUGAUUCUAGUGAAAGACAUGCUAGCAGAAUUUUUAGUCAGAUCUUGAAAUCCAAUUUAAGCAUGAACAUUGAAUUAGAGGGUCAAAGUUAAAAAAGCAUCUGAGAAAAUAGAUAGAGUGCUGAGAUAUUUGGUUACAAGUUGAAGCCUUCUUUGAAAAUUAAGGCAAUUAUUUUGAGAAUCAAAAGAAUAACUUGGUCAUCAAUUGAAAGACAUGUCUCAAUUAGGUCAGAUAGUGGAUGUGUGAUCCUACAUCAAAAGGAAUACAAAAAUUAGCUUAACGAAAGCAUGAGGAAUGUACAACAAAGGUGGAGUUUACAGAAGAAGUAGCGGCGUGCAGCCUCAGUUAAAGUUAAUGCUUAAAAGAUAUCACAAACGAUCUUCACCUGUCAUGUUUAUAUUGCAUGACGUGUACUGGUAUUUUCAAGGAUUGAUAUGAUUAAGGCAUUUCAUUAUGCUAUCCAAACAUUGUGUUAUCCUUUGUUUACCCCAUUUGAGCCUUAGUUUUAUUUUUUUUCAUACACCUCUUUGGAAUCGAGAUAGAGUCAGCAAAGCUCAAAAAAAAAGAGUCGAGCAAAAGAAGAGUGUCAGAAAAGUUUCAAAAAAAAAAGAGAAAAAAAUGUGUUCAAAAAGAAAAAAAAGAAAAGUUAGAAUAUAUUGAUUUUGUGUUCAAAAUCAGGAACUAGUGUUCUGUUCGUGCAUGUUGCGAAUAACUUUCAGUGUGGCUACUACGUUCACGUUGUAAUUUUUAAUGUAAGUAAUUAGGAUCCCUUUUGCUCGAGAUGCAUUAAAAAUCAGCAUAGUAUUAAUGCACCCUUCUCCGUCUGCCUUGUUCGUUUACUAAAUUUUCUAAAAAAAAAAGGAAAUUAACUUGUGUAUAUUUAGUCGUGAUGUUUUGUGCCCGAAUAAUAAAUUUUUCACCCAUCAGAAUCUUAGUGUGUACCUUCUGUACUACGGACCCAUUCAUUACAUACUUGAAUACAUAUUAAACGUUCAUGAGAAUGGGAAGUGUCAUUUGAGAAUAAGGCUUAGAAAUUCCUUUGAUCUAAUAGGGAUAAUAGUAACAUGUGUAAGCUUAUGAUAGUUGAUUAGGUCUUUCUUCUUUCUUCCUUAUUUUUUUAAGCCUUAAUGACUAUAUAAAUCGAAUUAAUUUUUCUUGAUGCCCAUGACUAUAGAAUUCCUUUACGAUAGUUUUAAAGGAAUCGAAGUAUAUGUUUGUGGGUGUGCGAUUUGUUCCUUGUAUAAUAGCAGGUUCAUACUUUUCUGGAAAAAUUGUACAUGUGUGUUGUAUCUCAAGUUCAUGUUUCGUGCUCUAUUAUAUUUAUUUCGUGAUUCAUUUCUUUAUUAAAACUUAAAUUAUUUUCUAAUUCUUAUUUUUCUUUAUUUUCAUGUAAACCCGGGAGUUGGAGUUCCGCAAUGGAACUCAUCUUGACCUAUAGCAUCGGAUCAACAAAUUGCUAGGAUCGCAGAGCCUCAGAGUCGCGUAUAGUAGAAGCUCAAACUCCAUUAGGAGUCUAUAGUAUCUCUUAGUCCGUUCUCUUCAUUUAAUACUCACAUCAUGUUGUUAUUUUUAACUUGAAACUAUAUUUAAUUAUUAGUGAACUUUAUUAAACACUUGUGUGUUUAUAUUGCUUUAGAAUUUAUGAAUUCCUUUAGAAAUAAAUUAAUGUCCUCACCUUGUUGCGAUUAACACGUGACUAGUUAAAUGAACUUUUUUAAAAAUAAAAUAAAAUAAAAAGGGGUUUUAGCAAAUUUAAUAUUGAGAUAACAUUUAAACUAAUUAAUCUCCUCAAAACUUUUUAGAAGACGAGUUUCGUGACCUCAACGUUUUCUUCAAAUAAAGAGAAUUUAGUAUUAUUUUGCAAUUGGAUAGAACUCAAGCUUUUCUUUUAAAAAGAGGCUAUUUAUCAAUUCCAACUUAUUUGAAUAAUUUAAAUUAUAUCAAAUGUUUGAUUCACUUUCAAUUAUUUUUUAAUGCGAGUUUCAAUGUCUAGACCCUUUUUUAAGACCCGAAUAAAUUAAAAAGGAAAACAUAAGGUAAGUAUAUCUACACACUAUCACAUACGAAAUGUUUCAUUGUUACUUUUACUCAAUUUUUAGAAAAAUAAAAUUAUUAUUAUUAUUUUCUACACUUCAUCUCAACCAUACAUUUAUAAGUGUAUUUUUAUUAUUAUCCUUAUCUAGCUACUUUUAACCACUACCUAUUUACAAUUAAAUGAAUAAUAUCAUGGUUUUUUUUACAUUUCAAGAAUGCGCAAGUCUACUUCACGCCAAAAAAUAGUAUGUUAACGCAUUUUGAUAAUAUUUAUAGGUUUUCAGUCUUGGCGAGAAACGUAUUUGUAUAAAUUUACUCCCGAGAUAAAUAAGUUUUUUUUAUAUUUCGAGGCAUAUGCAAUAGUUUACGAUAAAUAAAUAUUUACAUGCCUUUAAAAGUUGUAUUUUCUUUUGCCUCACAAAUGAUUCCUUCAGGCACGUAGCAACUUUAUAUUUUAGCAAAAAUUGUAAGACUUUAUAACAAUAUUAAGGUUAACUUUAACGUUCCGUUUUUAUUUUUGAAACAUGCAUGUGUAUUUUGCAAUACCAUAGAUAGCAUCUUCACAUGUCGUGAGUGUCCAUUUAUAUACUUUGGGUUUUCCUUCAAAUUUGAUGAAUACUUAUGUAGAUUAUCAUUAUAAAUAACAAAAUAAAUAUUUUUCAAAUAUUCUCCUAAACUAAGCGUAAGGACUAUCUUCGGAUAGGCUCUGAGGGGUGCCUAAGACCUUCCCCUUGGGUAACCAAAACUCUUACUCAGAAUCUCAAAAUGUUUUUGAUAGACUAAAACACAGUUUUACAAUAAAAAAUGGUUUUUUCCUAAUUUUCCUAAAAAGUUAAGUGACGACUCUAAAAAAAAUAAAUUUUCAAAUCCCAAGAGUUAUUAAACGCCACCAUACGUCGUGUGCUAUUUCGACCGGUUCGAAAUAGGGUGCGACACUGAUCAUCUUAAUUGACUGAUCUGACUGAGUUCACUUGGUUCCGUUGACUGAAGGAAUACUACUAAGGUCUGAACGGAAUAUUGAACUUGAUUAGAUUGAAUACUGAGAUUGCUGAGUUUUCUUAACUUCUGUCACUAACUGAGAUAUACUGAUCAUAGCACGACUGAGAUUAUUUUGAGACUGACUCAGCUCUAGACAAGCAGUUAAGUUUUUGGGUAUUAAAUACCCCUAAGACUCGACAGCAUAAAUAAAUAAGACACGACAACUCUUGCAUAACAACAAUGACAAUAGACUAUCAUUCGCAGCAUAAUCAAUGAAGUAUCAUUUCGAGCACUUGAGAAUCUUAAACAUGUAAUUGUAAAGGAAAGCAUGCUAUUGUCUCAUAACUUAUCCAACAAGGAAUUCACAUGAAUAGGAAUACAUGCAACAUAUCAUAAUUCAUUCAUUUAGGCCUUUUAACAAACACUUAGCAUGCACUAGUUGACAUAUGCUUGGGAAUAACAUACUUCAUGUUGCAAUGACACUAUUUUCUUCACAUAAGCAAUUUAUCAAACAUGUGGGAGGCACCUUUUGGCCAUACAACAUUCAAUACACCAAAUUAACAUAAUUACAUAAUUCAACAUGUUUCUUAGAGGGACUUUAUCAUGAACAUCACAUAACCAACACAUACUAAGGUCAAUACUUGCAUCUUUAUAAUCACAACAUGAAUUAAAACUUAAUAUUAACAUGGUCUUCAACUUCAAACAAUAUAAAUCAUGAAAAACUCAUAAGCAUAAAAUCUUGAAUUUAAAAAGGGAUUCUUGGACUUCUUGGGUGGAAGGAACCAAGAAUCAACAUCCAACAUACCUUGCUAUAUGAUUCUUGAAAAAUUAACGGAGGAAUUUCCUUGAUUUUGAACCUCAAUAGAAACCCUUAUUCUUGUCCUUGAGGAAAAUUGAGAGAAAGCCUUAUAUUUUGGGAGAAAAUAUGAGAAAUCUCAUGUUAAGAAAGCUUAUAUAGGGGUGAGAUUUGACCAAAUUGCCCUUGGAAAAACAGAAGUAAAAUGCUGAAAAACUGGGGACAAGGGCUAGGGAAAGGCAGUGCUUUUUUCAGAGCCUUUUGUAGGCUGGGCGGCGCCUUGCUACUGAGGGAGGGGGCCAAGGCUCUAAGCUGGACGGCGUCCCUCUGUAUCCUUUAGCUACUAUUUUUUCAACCCAAACACGACCUUAGGCUCGUCUAAAAUUUUUGAACCUCACCCGGAAUGUACUCUUGACUUGCCCCAUCACAAUGCAAUAAGAAAAUCAAGAAUUAGAGGUCGGAAAGGUCACAAAAUAAUUCAUCAAAGUUUCAAAGGCUUAUGGAAUGGAAAAUUUUCAACACUUAGCCAAAUUUUCUAAGUGUUAAGCCUUUCUUGGCAUGCUUUAGAAGCUCUAAGGACUUGGGAAUUUUACGGGGUGUUACACUAUUUCAUGCACAACAACCUCUCCAUCUUCAAAAUCCAGAAGUCGCACCCCUAGAUUUGAAAGCCGAUGAAUAUCUUUCACCAUCUUUAUUUUUCUUUCCUCAACAUGUGCAAGAAUGCCCAUACAUAGUCUGUUGAUGGCGUCGGCCACCACAUUCGCCUUGCUCGGAUGAUAGUGCAGGCUCAUGUCAUAAUUCUUCAACAGUUCCAACCAACACCUUUGCCUGAGAUUUAGCUCUUUCUGCGAGAAAACAUACUGUAAACUUUUGUGUUUAGUAAAUAUAUCAACAUGUACCCCAUACAGAUAAUGCCACCAUAUCAUAAUUGCAAAUACCAAAAACGCUAAAUCCAAGUCAUGGGUGGGGUAAUUUUGCUCGUGCACCUUCAACUACCUAGAUGCAUAAGAUACCACUUUACCAUGCUACAUAAGUACACAUCCAAGCUCCACUCGGGAUGCAUCACAGUACACAACAAAACCUUUUGUACCCUCAGGAAGGGUCAAAAUAGGUGCAGUAGUCAACUUGUCCUUCAAUCUUUCAAAGUUAUUAUCACAAGAGUCAGACCACACAAAUUUUACGUUUGUCUGUGUCAACCUGAUAAGUGGAGCAGCUAUCGAAGAAAAAAUCUCUACGAACCUCCUAUAAUAUCCCACCAAACCCAAGAAGCUUCGAAUGUCGGUUGGAGUCGUGGGUCUGGGCCAUUUUCUCGCUGCCUCAAUCUUUUGGAGGAUAAACCUUAAUUCCCUCACUAGACACAAUAUGCCCCAAGAAAGCAAUAACAUUACGCCAGAAUUCACACUUGGAAAAUUUUGCAUACAACUUAUGAUCUUUGAGGGUCUGAAGAAUAAUUCGGAGAUGAUUGGCAUGAUCCUCCCCACUCAUAGAAUAAAUUAAGAAGUCAUCAAUAAAAACUAUGGCAAAAAGAUCUAGGAACUGAUGGAACACCCUAUUCAUUAGAUCCAUGAAAGUUGCAGGGGCGUUAGUCAAUCCAAAAGACAUGACUAAGAAGUCCUAAUGGACAUAUCGAGUUCGAAAAGCUAUUUUGGAUAUGUCAGCCACCCUAACCUUCAAUUGAUGAUACCCCAAGCGAAGGCCUAUCUUUGGAAAACACUUAGCACCCUGAAGUUGGUCAAAAAGAUUAUUAAUUUUAGGAAGGGGAUUUUUAUUUUUGACAGUGACAUUGUUCAACUGACGAUAAUCUAUACACAUACGGAGGGAUAUAUAUUUCUUACGCACAACGAGCACAGGUGCACCCCAGGGGAAGACACUAGGACGGAUGAAGCCUUUAUCAAGAAGAUCUGUUAGUUGCUUUUUCAACUCUUUCAAUUUAACAGGAGCCAUUCUAUAUGGCGGAAUAGAAAUGGGACGGGUGUCUGGCAAUAAAUUAAUACCAAAAUCUAUCUCCCUAUCAGGCGGUACCCCUGGGAGAUCUUUGGUAAAGACUUCUGGAAAUUUAUUUACUACAGGAAGGGGCUGAAGAGAAGGACUUUCAAUAUUUAAAUCUUUUACUCGAAUCAGAUAAUACAAACAACUCUUAGAUAUAAGUUUGCGGGCUCUAGGUAAGAGAUAAAUUUCCCUCUAGGUUCUAAAGAAUGCCCCUCCCAUUCUGUCACUGGUUUAUUUGGAAAAGAGAAUGUAACCUUUUUGGUUCUACAAUCUAGAGUGGCAUAACAUGAAUGGACCCAGUCAAUUCCUAAAAUAGCAUCAAAAUCAACUAUAUGAAGCUCUAAGAGGUCUUCCAUGGUAUCCCAACUACAAAUAGACAUAACACAGUUUCUAUAUACUCUCCUAGCCAUAAAAGAUUCACCUACAGGAGUGGAAACAAAGAAAGGUUCUACAAUAACCUCGAGCUUAAACCCAAAAUCGGCUACCACAUAUGGGGUCACAUAAGACAAGGUAGACCCGGGAUCAAGUGACACAUAUACAUCACGGGAGAAAAUUUAUAACAUACCCGUGACUACAUCUAGGAAAGCCUCUGUAUCCUGACUGUUGGAUAAGACAUACAACCGAUUGUGACCGUUUUUGAUAACUGAAGCAGCGCCCUUAGGAGAAGGAGCUGUGGAGGCAGUGUAGGACUUAUAUCCCCCUACAUUACCUCCGAUAUAAGGGCAAUCUCUCUAAAUGUGGCCCAUCUGGCCACAGGAGUAACAAUUUUUCCUCUUGAAGUAACACUUCCCCGGGUGAUUCUUCCCACAAUACUACAAUGGGGAAAUGAUUUGGAGGGCUAUGUCACGCUUCCCUAGGAAUGAGUGUCCUAUAUCCUCCAUCUAUUAUUAGCCUGAGGAUUAAAAGAACGCUGAUCACAUGGAGGUAUGGGUGCUGGGGCACUGACCGAAGGCUUUACAUUACCGCAAGUCUUUAUCUUUGACCACCUGUUACCCCAAUCUCCAUCCUGAUGUUGACUAUAGUUCUGAUCUCCUGGUCUGGCCCUCUUGGCCUGUUUGUCUUUCUCUCUUACUUUAGCAACCCUCUGUCACACCUCAAAUCCUAUUGGGGCGAACUGGCACCCAUAACCGAGGAGGCCCGGGAGAACCAGCUCAUAACCUUAUACUUUCCAUGCAUACCUCUAUGACAACUCAAAAUUCAGACAACAUCAUGUCGUAUAUAAAAGGAAAUAAUCACCUAUAUAAGCUCGAGCACACACAUAUAUAUGUAUAUACAAUACUUGGCCGUUAGAGCCAUCACGUCUAUUAACAAAACACCACCUUGACUAUACAUUAGGUCUACAAAGCCUCUAGACAAUACACAGAUUUUAACUAAGGUCGGGACACACCCCGCCAUAUAACUAACUUCUAUACAAUACCAAAAGUGACUGGAUAUGACACGAAAAUCCCUAAAGCAAACUGGAGCUCACCAAAAUCAGCUGGAUAUCUUGGCUCCUACUUGUGCGGUGUAUGAGCUGAGGUACCUGUGCCUUGCAGCAUGAAAUGCAGGUCCCCCAUGGGGGACGUCAGUACAAAAUAUGUACUGAGUAUGUAAAGUGUAGAUAAUCACAUACGAUAUAGGAGCUCAAUAGAAAUCAGAAACAAGUGAAUAAAUCGUAAUAGGAGUGGACCACACUUAUUAGAACUUGUGACAACCUGUACAUUGUAUUUAUUCAAUCACUUUACCUUCGUUCUUAUCAGCUUUGUAAUCAUUACUGUACUGUACUGUGACCAUUAGGCUGCCUCCAGUACAUAUCAACUGGGAUCGACCCAUGAUAGGCUUAUGCCCCUGUGAUACCACCCAUAAACACAUAAAUAGGGAUCGACCCAUGAUAGGCUUAUGCCCCUGGGAUACCACCCGAUAAGAGAGAACUUCCAUCACUUAGUUCAAUUAAUCUUUGAGAUUGUUAUUUCGGUCACCACCAUAUUUUUGAUACUUUGAAACAAUGAUACAUCAAUAGGAACCAAGUAAUAGACCUUCUAUACAAUAACGAUGUAAUAAAGACUCAUUGGUACAUCAACAAUGUGUUUCAGAAUCAUCAAUAUCACAACAAUGAAAUAAGAGCCUUUUGGUAUAUCAAUGAAACAUUUUGACACUUUAUAGAAUGGAAACAACUUCGUUGGUAACGUAGAACAAUACAUGUUUUUGGACAACCUCGGAAUCUUACUUGAUGGAACAUUGGUGUUUUCAUGCCAAAGAACAUUGUUAGAGUAUGCUUUACAUACCUCGUUGUAGAUUCAGAUACCAAUUCAACACAACUUCCCGCCUUUACAAAUCACUUAUCUACAAUGAAAUGUUUGGCAUCUAGUAUUAGCAACCCAACACCACAAUUCUCUUCCAUAAUUCCAUACUACCAAUAUUUGCAAAACAUUCCAAAAACCAACUUGAACAAUAGGUUUAUGUGUGUAUAUAUAUAUAAUCAUCAUUUCAAUACCACAUCAUCAAUACCACAUCAUCACCCCAAAUUCCUUCACAAUUUAACAUAAUCCAACCAUGCACAAGAAUAAUCCAACAUCAUUUCCAAUCAUCUUUCAACAACAAUCAAAUAACAUACUUCUUAUGCUCACAUGCAUAUAUAUAUAUAUAUACAUAUCCAUAUAAAUAACACCAACAUAAUUUACAUCCUUACCAAAAAAAUGGCCCUUUUGAUUUCGAAGUCCUGUUGGCACAAAUAAGGGGUGCUUCUCGAAGCCCUUGAGACGGUGAACACAACUACGGAAUCAAUUUGGAUUUUCUACGGUUGAAUCACAAGAUAAUUGGAGUUGAAAUUUGGCUAGGGUUUCUUAGUUUUCAAUAAUGGAUGAUAAAUAAUGGAUAUGAGGCUAAGUAUAUGGAGAUGACAAACGCAGUUAUCGAAUUACUUUGGAAUUUCUACGGUUGAAUCAAAAGUAAUUUAAAGGUCAAAUUUGGUUAGGACUUGUUCUUUCUCAAUGAUUGAUAAUGAAAAUGAGUUUUUGAACUCAUAUACAUGUAUAUAUACACAUAUUACCGUCCAUAAUAUAGUAAGAAAUGACCAAAAUGCCUUUAAGAUUUAAAUAAUGUCAAAUCUGUCAUUUGGUGGACUAUUUUGUUAAGCUAAAGUAGAUCGACCAUAACUGUUUGCUCCGAUAUCGGAUUUGGGUGAAAUUGGUAUCGUUGGAAGGAUAAUUCAAAGGGCUUUCAUUUCAUAUAAAGUAGGCCACCCAGUUCAUCCUGUACAAGGAGUUAUGGUUGUUUGAAGUUGACCCUAAGAAUUUGUUUUGAUAGGCUGAAGUAAAACGAGUAUAACUCCUUACUCAGACAUUGGAUUUAGAUGAAACCAAUUUCAUUGGAAAGAAUACUCAAAGAUAUUUCUUUUCAUAGGUCGCAGCUCUCCCAAUUCAUUAUAUUAAGGGAGUUAUAAUUGUUUGAAUUUGACCCAAAAAUUCGACUGGCCUCAGUAGUUUGUGUGCAGGAAAUUUUUCUGCACAUUUGCUAUUCCCAAAUAUCCCGGCCACCGUUUUGUAGUUUCGAACAUGCUCGAUUAUAUACGAAGCCUAUCCAUUUUUGGAAAUCUUUAUAUCAUUGGAAAGCUUAUUCAAUAACCUUUUCAUGGAACCAUCGACGGGCAAAUUUUGAUAAAAAUAAAAUAAAAAAAUUAAUUCCAUAUAAAUAAGACCAAUACACGUACUUGAAUACGCCAAUACACGUACUUGAAUACGGGGUGUUACACCCUCUUUUUCUGAUCCUCGACCUGCUGCAUGUGAAUAGACAAUCUAGAGAAGUCCAUGUCCAUGUUCAACAUCGCCUCCUUGCAUUCUAAAACCAAGUCAUCUGAAAGGCCGGAUGCAAACUUCCUCAUACGGGCCCUCAUAUUUUUUGCCAAUCCCGGAGCAUAAUGGGAUAGUUGGUUAAAUUUCAAGGUGUACUCCUUGACGCUUAUCUUCCCCUGCUUUAAGUUCAUAAACUCUUCAGCCUUGGACUCCCUCAACUCCUGAGGAAAUAAUAGAUCCAGGAAGGCUUUCACAAAAUCUCUCUACGUAGAAGGCUCAGCAUUCUCACCCCUUGAAUGUUCCCACUCAUUGUACCACUAAUUUUCUACCUCCUUCAAUUGGUAAGCUGCUAAUUCAACCCCUUCUACUUCAUCCAUAUGCAUCACUCAAAAGAUUUUCUCUAUCUCAUCCAUAAACUCUUGUGGAUCCUCCUCCACCUUUGUACCAGUGAACUUAGGAGGGUUUAUCCUUAUAAACUAACCCACUCGUGAAGCUUUAGAUGUGACAGACGCAGACCCAAUAUCCUCCGACUAUCAAGCCUAUGAAGCCACCAACUGUGCAAUCAUAUGCAUCGACUUUCUGAAGUUAACAUUUGAUAUCUCUCUCUAUGGAAGUUGGGUGCGGUUAGUCCUAGAAUGGGGAGACCUAGGUGCUUUGGGUGGACUGGUCUGAACAGGAGGGACUCUUAGAGCAGCGACAAAAUCAGGAGUGUGGGCCCUAUUACGUGUCGUUAUCCCAUGGAUGGGACGGACAUCUUCAGUCUGGGCAUUCUGAUCAUUGGAGCGACGUGGAGGCAUGAUUGAUUUUCUGAAAUACAAGAGACAUUGAUUAGGUGACAUUUCAGACUCCACAGCAUGAAUUAAAUCACAAGGAAGGGAAACAUUCCUAAACAUCUAGUAGCCUCCUGCCUAUAAGUAUAGCGCGCUACACACCCAUAAACAAGACUCUAUCCGACGCAAUUUUCGCAGACACCCUGGGACCAUGAACUUGGCUCUUUGAUACCAAGUUUGUCAUGACCCAAACAAGGCCCUGGGCGUAACGAGCAUCCCGAGCUGUGAAGGCCCGAGCACCCCUAUGUUAACAGGAAAUCAUACACACAUUCAUACAAUCAUAAAGAGAAUGCGGAAAUGGAUUCAUACGGAAACAUGGUCAAUAACUUCAUACAACUGAAAAUUCAAAAAAUUCAAUAAAACCUUCAACAUCAUCUAACAUUUGUCUGCGAAAUCUCUAGUACAUCAAAACCAGUUAUCAUAACUAAAACUGGGAAAAAAAGAAAUAGGCCUUUCGAAAUAACGAAGGCUCACCAACUGCAGACACACUUCACUUCUGGCUGAAAACUCUAUGGCUUUGCAGGACCUCUAGACUGAGUUUCAGACCCUGGAAUAUAGGGGGUCAAUACAAUUAUAUUGGUACGCAGAGUGAUCCAAAAAUAAAAUAUAAUGUGCUAUUAUAAAAUACUUUAAUGCAAAAUCAUUUGAAAAUAUAUGGGCAUAGUAUAAUGGUUUUUCAACAAUAAUGCAGCACUAUUGAGUUAGAUGGUACGCCCUAUAAUUUCAUAUUUUCACCAACUGCCAAGUCUCGAUUGCCACUAAGAUUGGAGUAUUAGUGAGGGAAGGACACACAAGAUCACACAGCAGGGUGCCACAACCCCAAUCAAGUCAAUAUGUCGUGGUUUGGCUCAAGAUCACAAAGCAGGGCUCCUAACCAUUGUUCCCUAUUUGGGAUGACAUAGUACUAGGUAUACAAGAUCACAUAGCAGGGUACCAAGUUCCCGUGUUGGUAAUUCACGAUUUCCAGCAUAGAGUCAUCUGACUCAUGCUUUCUUUGGGUAACCAUCUAACUCAUAUCAAUUUAAGCUUUAAGUUUGAUAUAAGACAAAACAUGUAUCAUACUCACAACAUUCUCUUUCUCUUUUCAUUUAAGGCAAUUUCUCCAUACGUUUUAUGCUAGUCAUUAUAUGAACACCAACAAGACUCCCAUACACCAAACAUAUGCAUAUCGAUUCCCCAACAUAAAGUAGUCAAGAAACUCCAACAUUUACCAAGCAGUACAACAUUAUCCAAGCAUACUUUUUCAUGAUAAAAAGGGGUUUUAAAACUCACGCUCUCAAUACUUUAACAAUGGCAUUAUGUGGGGUUCAUAAACAUCAUCAUGGGGAAUAAAGGAUUCACAACUCAUGUUCAUAACACCUUGUAAAAUUCAAGUCACAUGUCCACAAAUUAAACAAUUGAGAUAUAUAAGCAAACAGCUCCAUGAUUUUUCAAUAUUCUUCUCAAAACCAUAUCACAAUGCAUGCUUUUUUUGUUAAAACGAAACCCCGCUUAUAAUGGCAUACACACUUACAUAAUUAUUAAAAAAUCUUGUUUAAAUUACUAUCAAAAUCAUGUCCAUGAGAUUUAGGACAACCCCACAUACCUUAGAUUAAUUAGUUUAGAGAGAAAAACUCGAAUCUUGAUUCGUUCCUUGAAAAUCUUGAACUUAGAGGUUGGUUCUUGAUUCCUUGUUCUUGGAAAAAACCCUAAUUUUGAUAUUAUGGAUGAAUGAGGUGUUAUGUCCUUUGAUUUGAUGUAAUUAGGUUUUAAAAAAGUGGAAAAGACCCCAAAAUCCCUUUAAAAACGGCUUUAGAUCGCUAAACAGAGGUUCGGGACAGUUUGGGUGACGAACCGUCACCCCAAGGACGGACCGUCCCUCAAACCAUCGCUUUUUGGCCAGAAAAUAGACUUAUUGCCUCAGUUACGACAAUUUAGGAGACUUUCCAUCACUGGCAUGAUGGUCUGUCGGCCUUCCCGUCGCACUUUGGCAGUUCGAAUAUCUCACUGUAAAAUGGUCAUAACUUUUUACCCUGAUAUUAGAUUUAGGCAAAAUUGGUGGAGUUGGAAAGAGGACUAAAAGACCUUUUAUUUUAUAUAUAGUAGGCCCUCUAAUUCGAUAUAUAUAGAAAUUUAUAGUCGAUUGAAUUUGACCCAAGUUUAAACGCUCACCAAAAUUCAAUUGAUAGGAAGACUUUCAACUUGUCCUUGAGCUAAGGGACCUCUAUGAUCUUAACUCAUGAUCAACUAAUUCCCACACUAUAUAGUUGAUUAACACACUACAUUCACAUUGGAUUUAUGGCUUUUGGAUUAGUUACACGUAGAAAUAACGGUUUACGUUCUAGCCCGAAAUGCGGGGUGUUACAGAAAUUCACUGCAAAAUUCAGGUAAUCCCUUCUUGUAAAGAAUGGUUAUUUUCAGCCAUUUAUGCAAAUAAUAUUAGCUUUGAUAGGAUUCAAUUAUGGAAUAAUUUUCAAAGAAUAACAGACACUACCAACAAUGGUCCUUAGAUUAUAGCGGGUGACUUUAAUGAAGUUCUCUUUAGCUCCCAAAAAUUUGGAGGGGUUAGCCUGAACAUGGGAAGGACUAAUAGAUUCCUUAACUGUCUAAAUUACUGUAAUAUGGUUGACUUAGGCUAUACUGGAAGUAAAUAUACUUGGAUGAAUAAACGUAAAGGAGGCAAUACCAUUCUGGAAUGUUUAGAUAGAAUUGUUUGUAAUUAUGAAUAGUUGAACAUCUUCCCUGAAUCAACUGUUGUUCUCCUUCCUAGGGUUCAGUUAGACCGUAGUACUCUCUUACUAAAACUGAAUUCAGAAAGACAUAUCCCUUACAAACUUUUUUGACUAAAAACUAUUUGGUUGUCCCAUCCGCAUUUUCCAAAUAUUGUGUCAAUAGCUUGGGAAUCUUCAAAUAAUGUUUUGCUCCCUGCUUCUAAGCUUUUUACUAGAAAUGUCAUGCUUUAGAAUAAACAUGUAUUUGGAAAUAUCUUUGCCAAGAAAAAAAGAAUCCUUGCCCGCUUACAAGGCCUUCAGAACUUUUCUCAUUAUCCAACUAGUACCUUCUUUCAAAAUCUUGAAGAAUCCCUUCAGGAUGAGUAUCAAAGUCUCCUUAUAGUGGAGGAGGAAUUCAGGAGGCUUAAUUCUAGGAUUCUCUGGAUGAAUAAUGGAGACACUAAUAAAAAAUUCUUCCAUAUGUUGACUCUUCAAAGAAGGAGAAGGAAUUGUAUCACUAGUUUGAAGGGUAGUGUGGGUAACUGGUUAAACAAGGGCCACCUCAUUAGUAACCAUAUCGCAGAUUUUUAUACCUCCAUAUACUCUUAUGACUUGAACACAUCUACAUGGUCACAUGAUCUAGCCAACUCUUGCUUCGUUCCUGCGAAUAUGGCUUCGACCUUGUCGGCUCCCUUUCUCCGUAAAGAAGUGAUUGAGGCUAUCUACUUUUUUAAGCCGUAUAAGGUGCCUGUACCUGAUGGCCUACAUCCUUUUUUCUACCAACAAUAUUUCCAUUUAGUAGGUGACUCUGUUGUCAACUUUUGCUGUCAGGUUUUCCUUAAUCACUGCAUCCCUGAGAAAAUCAAUAUGACCUAUUUAUGUUUGAUUCCUAAAGUACCGGGGGCUUCCUCUAUCUCCCAAUCCGGACCAAUUAGUCUCUGCAAUACUAUCUGUUAAAAUAGUUACUAAAAUUAUUGUUAAUAGAAUCAAGCCUUUGCUGCCACAAAUAAUAGGUCCGACUCAGGCCAGCUUCCUAACUAAUAGAUGCGCGGCGGAUAAUGCAAUAGUAGUUCAAGAAAUCCUCCACCUUUUUAAGCAUACAAAGGCCAGGGACUCUCAUGCUCUUAUAAAAAUAUACUUGGAAAAAACUUUUGACAGAUUAGAAUGGUCCUUUAUAGGAGAAACUCUUCUCUAUUUUAGAUUUUCACGUGAUUUGGUUAACCUAAUCAUGUCGUGUGUUACCACAUCUACUAUUUCUAUUCUCUUUAAUGGGAAUGCUAUGCCUAGUUUCUACCUGACAAGAGGAAUACGUCAAGGCUAUCCUUUAUCGCCAUAUAUUUUUAUUCUAUGUAUCAAAAGAUUGUCGAGAGCAAUAGAUGAAGAGGUGCAACUUGGUCGGUGGAUACCUAUAAAAAUAUCAUCGAAAGGGCCACCAAUCUCCCAUCUCUUUUUUCGGAUGACACUAUCUUGUGCAUUAAAAUUUAAAAUCAAUCUUGCCAAGAUAUUAUGCAAACCUUUGCCAUCUUCAGUGCCCUUCCGGGUCAGAAAAUUAGUACUGCUAAAUCUAGGUUUUUCUUCUCGAAAAACACGCCGGCAAGAAUAACGUGAAACGUUUGCUCACUAGUGGGAAUUGAAGAGGGAUCACACUUUAGUAGAUACUUAGGUUUUCCACUUACAAAUUCCAGGCCUUCUAGGAGUGAUUAUCAACUCCUAAUAGAUAAUUUCAAAUGCCGAUUGUCGGGCUAGAAGAGUAAAUUCCUUUCUCCUGUGGGUCGAGUGACUCUAAUCAAUUCAGUGUUGAGUACUCUUCCUAACCAUGUCAUGCAAAUUACUAAGUUACCUUAUCAAGUGAUUAAGGGUAUGGAAAAGUGUGAAAAAAAAUUUCUUUGGGGUUCUUCUGAAUUCGCAAGAAAAUUAGUCUUGUCAAAUAGUCCAACGAAGACUAAGAAAGAGAGAGGUUUAGGUAUACAAUGUCUAAUGACUACAAACUAUUCUCUCCUAGCCUCGACUGUAUGGAUAUUAUUUCAUUCUCAGGAUUCCUUUUGGGUUGUGCUUCUAAGGAAUAAAUAUCUCAAUCGAUCAACUAAUUUAUCCUCGACCUGGAAAAACCUUAUGGUGGGAUGGAAGAACUAUCAAAAAGGCAUAAUAUGGCAACCGGCUAAUGGAAGGCAUAUUAACUUUUAGACCUACCAAUGGAUAAAACUUGGAACCACUUUAAGAUCCAUAAUUUUUGGCCCCUUAACGAAGUCCGAGGAUUGCAAGUGUAUCACUGACUAUAGAAACGGUAACACUUGGAACUUGUUAACCAUCUCAUUUGUCCUCCCUCGGAAAGUGACUAGUCAAAUAUUUCUCAUCCAUUUCCCCACCUUUGAAAAUUCUUACGAUCGUAUUAAAUGAGGACUUACACCCACGAGAAGGUUUACUGUCCAAUCUAGCUAUAGCCAAAUCAAAUCCAAUGAUAAUAAUCCUACUCUCCGAAUUGAUAGUUGCUGGUUAUGGAACCUGACUAUUGUCCCUAAGAUUAAAUAUUUCCUGUGGUUGUUAAGGCUGAAUAGGUUUCCUACUUCUGCUUACUUGCACCAUAUUUCAUGCCUGGAAUCUCCUUUCUGUAGACUUAGUCAGGGAGGAGUGCCCGAGACUUCAUACCACUUGUUCUUUUCAUGCUCAGGACUGGGCUAUUUCUGGGAAAGCUUAGUAUUGGGACCUUCCCUUUCAUUGCCCCUGCAAAACUCCUACGCUACCUCUAUUUUUAUCUAUUGGCUUAAAGAUAACGUUAACAGAUAUGCUUCCACUUCUCCCCAACUACCGCUGGGAGUCCUACUCCCUUACUACUUGUGGGUUAUUUGGACCCAACAUAAUAAGCGUCUUUUUGAUGGACAUGGGACUGAACCAUCACUAGUCUUGGCCAUUCAUUUAGCUGCGGAAUAUUGGUAUUUGGCAAGUAAUUUACACACUACUAGUAUUCCUAUCACUGUUUAUGUCAAAUGGAACCCUCCUAAAAUUAACAAUCUCAUGUUGAAUACUGAUGCUGCUAUAUAUUCUGAGCAUAGCAUUGGCGGAUUAGGGGGGUUUUGUAACUUUAGGGGCGAAUGGGUUAUGGGUUUUACUGCUUUUACAACUAUUCAGGACAUAACUCAUCUUGAACUUUUAGCAUUUUUUGCAGGAUUGCAGCUAGCUGUUAAACAUAAUUUCAAAUAUCUCGAAAUAAAUGUGGAUGCUAAGCAAGUCACAACCAUGUUAACAAGUGCUAAUUAUUUUACUGACAGUUUUUUGCCUCUGGAUGAUUGCAGGUACCUGCUCCUAUAGAUGGGUAAUCCGGUGGUGAGCUCGGUCUACAGGGAGCAAAACAGGCUAGUUGAUGGCCUAGCAAAAAAAGUCGUCUCUACUGCACUACCAUCCAAUUUAUGUAAUAGUACUUUGGUUAUGGAUACUAUAUCCAUUUUUUGGUCACCUCCUCAAGACUUGAUGAAGUUUUCUCAGGCUAAUAUGCGAGGAGAUUUUGCUAUUAGGUGAGUUAAAUCUGCAGCAGUUUUGCCGCCUAGUGUCUUUGUUAAUAGUCCUACUAGUAGUAUUGUAGUCCUUCAUGGAUGGUCUGUAAAUAUUGCUCUACGUGCAGAUACUACAGUGGCUAUGCUACUAACUUCCUCCCUAUAGUUUUUGUUAUGAAGCUAAUAUAAUAUAAGUAUCCUAAUUACCAAAAAAAAAUUAACGUUGAAUAAAGACACACCAAUCAAAUUUUCUAUGCAUAGGAAAAGUUUGAAAAAGUAGUCACUUUUUAAUUGAUAAUUAAGUUAGUUAGCUUUUCAAGUUAUUCCAUGUUUAGAUAUUUUUAAUACCAAAAUAAUCUUUUACAAAAAUCACCCUUCGCUCAACACAGGACAGUUUGAUAAUUUUUAAUCAUUUUGUUUUGUGCAUUGUCAGUAUAGAAUAUUACAUGAUAGUAUAAAAUAUUUUAUACAUUAAUGGUGCACAAAACUUAAAAUAAUUUUUAGGGCAAAAUGGUUCAGUGGACCCUUGUACUAUGUCGGUUUUGUACGUUGGAUAGUUCUACUUACAUGUUUGUCAUCUGGACCCCUUAAUCCACUAAAAAGCAACAUUUUAUAUCCUUUGACUGUUGACUUUGCCUAUGUAGCAUUGAAAUAACUGACUAGGAUAAAGAGUGUAGUCACUCGCCUGAGGUGUGAGUGAGGAUCAAUUUUUGUCUAUUCUAUAUUAAAAUAAUUUAAAAAAAUUAAAAAUAAUAUUAAAAUUUAAAAAAAUUAAAAAACAACUUUUUCCCUCCAUCUUUUUUACAUUAAAAAUAUNNNNNNNNNNNNNNNNNNNNNNNNNNNNNNNNNNNNNNNNNNNNNNNNNNNNNNNNNNNNNNNNNNNNNNNNNNNNNNNNNNNNNNNNNNNNNNNNNNNNNNNNNNNNNNNNNNNNNNNNNNNNNNNNNNNNNNNNNNNNNNNNNNNNNNNNNNNACCUCCGUCCAGCCCUCCUCCCCCGUCCAACCAUGGCUAUCACCCCCGUCUAGCCAUGGCUACCAUUAAAAUUAACGCCACUCACACCCCCCAUUCAGCCAUGACUACCAUUAAAAUUAACGCCCCGCCCCUACCGUCCACCACCGUCUCCUACCUCGCCACCCUUUCCACUAGCUUCCCCAUCCCUACGCCGUCCACCAUCGUCAAUUCGUCCCCCCACGCCGUCCACCUACAUUAGCAAAAACAAUAAUUUCUCCACCAAUUUCUCCAUUCACCGGCCACCACCACCAUGAACACCCUAAACCCACCAGCACCACUGCAGUGCCCUCCCCCCUUCAUUAACGUCGGCCAUCACCGUUAUAACACUUCAAUCCAACAACACCACAACUAGAAUUUCCACUUCAUUGAACCAUCAAUCUCUGGCUCACAACAUCAAUUGGUGUGGAGCAAUAGCAGAAAAAAAAACUUAGAUUUCAACACUACAAGUGCAGCUCCUAAGAAAAGAAACUUUGAUUUGUCAAGCAUCUCCCAAUAUAUAUCUGCUGGAAGAUUAAUUUGUGAAGAUCAAUCAUCUUCCUCCAUACUCACACUACUCAUUUUUUACCACUUCCCCAAUUCCUUAAAAUUUUCAAAAUCAAUCAAAAAUUACUUUUUGGGUCUUUAUCUUAAACCAACAAACCCAAUUUCUACAAGAAAGAAAAUACAAACAAAUCCUCCAUGAUCCAAUAAUUAAGAAAAGAUAAAAAAAGAACAGAAAAACACAAAUAAUUCGCUCUACAGUUGCUCAAAUUUAAAGAUUUCUUUUUGACAAUUUGGUUGAAGCAUUGUUCACGCCGCCAUAGUCAUUUCUUGCAAAGCCAACACAUAAUUUCUAUAAAAAAAAAAAGGAGAAGAUGAUGGAGAAGAAUGUAAAAGAAGAGGAAGAAAUGGAGAAUGAAGAACAGCAAAGAGAAAGAAAUGGGGGAAGAGAGAGGAAGAAAAGGAGUGGGGGGUUUCUUUUAUUUAUUUAUUUAUUCUUUUUAUUUAUUUAUUUUAAAAUUAGUUGGAGAAUAAUUUUAAUUAUUUGAAAUGAAUUUAAUAUUUAAUUUGUGAGCAAAAAUAAAUCAAAUGACAUUUUAUAAUUUAAUUAUUUGGAUAUUUAAUUUUAAAAAAUAAUUAUUUAAAUUUUUCUAUAAUUUAUAAUUUUUUUAUUUAAUUAAAUUAAUUUUAAUAUUUAAUUUGUCAUGUAACAUUUUAAAAAUGACUUGAAAUUUUAUGAAAUACUUGAAAAUGAUGUGGCAGAUAACGUGGCACACGUGGCACUUAUGUGGCAGCUGACGUGGGCGAGUGUGUUGCACUCUCCAAAAAUGUGUUUAAAAUUCUAUUUUUUAGUGGGUUUAGGGGUCCAGAUGACAAACAUGUAAGUUGAAGUUUCCAACUUAUAAAACCGACCUAGCACAGGGGUCCACUAAUCCAUUUUGCCAAUUUUUAAUGAAGUUUGAACAUAUUUCAGUUCAAACUUCGUGAAUCGUUCUGAGAUCUUGAACUAAUAAAGAUUGAACUCCACGGACCAUUCAUAUAAUUUUAAAAUCCAACAGAAUUUCAUACUCAGAUCUUGAUUUGUGAAAGCUUGAGUUUAUACUUUAUAGGAUCACACUCUCUUCUUUUGAUUUUAUUGGAAACAAAUGUCAAGUUGUUGAAAUUAUUGAUAUUCAAGAUAUUCCUAUUUACAUGAAGACUUUUCAAUUAGAAAUUGUCUAUUAAUAAUACAUGAUAAUUUAUUAUUGUUAACUUAAAAACAUACCAAGACUUUAAAAAACAUAACUUAAAUAACAAAUAGGUUUUAUCUAUAAUCGUAGAUACUAUCAAUACUUAAUUGAUAAUAAAACUCUAUACCUAAACAUGUUUUCUUCCUACAAGCGAUAGUUUUUGGAGAAUAAUCUAAACCUAAAUAAAGAGAGACAAUUAAUAUAAAUAUUAUUAAUUAAUUGAUUGAGGAAUCUUAGUUUUAAAUAGAUUAUAAAUCUAAGUAAAAUGAGAAAAUGGCCAAAAGAGUCCCCAACCUUUGCCCCAAAUGUAGAAAAUGGCCAAAAAAGUCGGCAAAGAGAGUAUAUCUCACUCUCUCUGAGCGAGUGAAUAGUCCGAAAAUCUUAAAAAAAGUAUUUUUUACAUUUCUUUUUAAUAUAAAAGUACAUAUAAUAUAUAUAUAUAUGUAUAUAUUAUUUUUAUUUUAUUUUAUUUUCUUUCUUAUUCAACACCAUCCCAAAAUACUCUCUCUCAUAAAAAGCUUCAACGACUCUUCAAUGACUAUCAUGGCCAAUUUCUUUAUCUUUCUCAUCUCUCUUUAUAUCGAAAUCUAAAUCACAUUUUCAAUACUUCUAUCAAUUUCAUUUUGUAACAGCAAUAUCAUCCCCAUUGUUUCCUCAGCUGCUGUAGUUGCUGUCAUUCUCUCCUGUUCAAGUUCCAAACAAGCAGCAUUUGCUCUUCGUCUUUACAUCUUUACCAUUUUUCUCAGUGACAAAACAUCAAACACUUUGUCUUCAUCAUUACACUCUUCUUCAAACUCUUCCUUCUUAUCAUCCAAUUUCAAUAAACCACCAUUUUUUUCCUCUUCGAAGUUCGAAUUCAUCAACAGCCUAGUCUUUUAAGACUUCAUCUUUUCACUAUAUUUUCCAUCAAAAUCAUUUUUGGAACAACAACUAUUUCUAUUCAUGUAACACUCUGUAAAAUUUUCGAGUUCUUAGAGCUUCUAAAGCAGGCCAAGAAAGUCUUAACACUUAGAAAAUUUAGCUCAGUGUUGAAAUUUUUUGAUUCCAUAAGCCUUUAAAACUUUGACGAAUUAUUUCAUGAACUUCCCGCCUUCAAUUCUUGAUUUUCUUGUUGCGUUGCGAUAUGGCAAGUCAAGAGUACAUUCCGGGUGAGAUUUAAAAAUUUUAGACGAGCCUAAGGUCGUGUUUGAGUUGGCAAAAUAGUAGUUAAAGGCUACAGAAGGGCGCCUCCUAGCUUAGAGCCUUGGCCUCUUCCCUUAGUAGCAAGGCGCCGCCCAGCCUACAAAAGGCUCUGGGAAAGGUGCCGCCUUUCCAUAGCCCUUAUGGCCAGUUUUUCAGCAUUUCACUUCCGUAUUUCCAAGGGUAAUUUGGUCAAAUUCCAUCCUUAUAUAAGCUUCCUUCACACAAGAUUCAUCAUAUUUUUACCCAAAAUAUAAGAUUUUCACUCAAUUUUCCUCAAGAAAAAAAAUAAGGGUUUCUAUUGAAGGUUCAAAAUCAAGAAAAUUCCUCCGUUAAUUUUUCAAGAAUCAUAUAUCAAGGUAUGUUGGAUGUUGAUUCUUGGAUUCCUUCCACCCAAGAAGUCCAAGAAUCCCUUUUUUAGAUUUAAGAUUUUAUGUUUAUGAGUUUUUCAUGAUUUAUGUGGCUUGAAGUUGAAGCCCACGUUAAUAUUAAGUUUUAAUUCAUGUUGUGAUCAUAAAGAUGCAAGUAUUGACCUUAGUAUGUGUUGGUUAUGUGAUGUUUAUGAUAAAUUCCCUUCAAGAAACAUGUUGAAUUAUGUAAUUAUGUUAAUUUGGUGUAUUGAAUGUUGUAUGGCCGAUGGGUGUCUCCCACAUGUUUGAUAAAUUGCUUAUGUGAAGAAAAUAGUGUCAUUGCAACAUGAAGUAUGUUAUUCCCAAGCAUAUGUCAACUAGUGCAUGCUAAGUGUUUGUUAAAAGGCCUAAAUGAAUGAAUUAUGAUAUGUUGCAUGUAUUCCUAUUCAUGUGAAUUCCUUGUUGGAUGAGUUAUGAGACAAUAGCAUGCUUCUCUUUACAAUUACAUGUUAAGAUUCCCAAGUGCUCGAAAUGAUGCUUCAUCGGUUAUGUUUCAAAUGAUAGUCUAUUGUCAUGGUUGUUAAGAAAGAGUUGUCAUGUCUUAUUUAUUUAUGCUAUCUAGUUAUGGGGGUAUUUAAUACCCAAAAACAUAGCUGCUUGUCUAGAGUCGAGUCAGUCUCAAGAUAAUUUCAGUCAUGAUAUGAUCAGUAUAUCUCAGUUAGUGACAAAAGUUAAGAAAACUCAGCAAUCUUAGUAUUCAGUCUAAUCAAGUUCAGUAUUCCAUUCAGACCUUAGUAGUAUUUCGUCAGUCAACGGAACCAAGUGAACUCAGUCAGAUCAGUCAAGUAAGAUAAUCAGUAACAGAUUCAGCUCUGUCUAGUACGAUCUAAGAAUCAGUUCAGUGUAUAUUCAGUUGGGAGUAGGAUUCAACACCGAGCGAGGGCAGGGAUGACGACGUCCCCAUUAUUUUAGGAGAGUCAUUAAUAACAAUCCCUGCACUCCAGAACUGCGUAGCCAGCGCAGGAUGAAAAGUCACCUGUCAUAUUAGGCUUGACUACCUCCCUAGAGUCACCCAUUAUAUUAGGCUUGGCUCCAACCAGGUGUCACCCGUUAUAUUAGGUUUGGCAUCCUGGGUUCAGAUAGAAGUGUCUUUACCCGUGGAACGAUAUUGGCACCCUUCCAACUGGGGUUACAGGUUGGAACCCAACUAGAUAGAAGAGGCAUGUCGGUUAGAUGACUACCUCCCAUAAUUUUGAUUUCAGCUUCAGUCUCAGUAAUAAAACUUAGUUGAGGAGUCACUCGUUAUACUAGGCUUCACUACCUAUCAGAGGUCACCCGUUAUAUAGGCUUGAUCUCAAAUUUAGAUAAUCAUUAGCAUUAUCAUUAAACUUAGAUAUCACCCAUUAUUUAGGCUUGAUCUCAUAUUUGGUUAAUCAAGUAUCAGGCAUUAUCAUCAGUAGAUUCAGAGAUCACCCGUUAUUUAGGCUUGAACUCAUUUUCAGUUAACCAAGUAUCAAACACUAUCAGUAGUAAACUCAGAGGUCACCCAUUAUAUAGGCUUGAUCUCAGUUAUGGUAACUCAGUAUCAGUAUCAGUAAACUUAGACAUCAAUCUCAGUGGACUUAGUUACUCAGUAUCCCUAAGUUAGUGAACUCAGAUAUCAAUUCUACUAGACUCAGUCAUCAGUAAGUCAGUAUUCAUAAACCCAUAUUUCAGAAUCUAGCAUUAGUAUUAUUGCGAUCUCAGUUUUUAGUUUUUUUAUUCAUGCAUACAUCCUCAUUUGGUAUUCUCAUGUUAUUCAGUUAAGUAACGUUCAUGCAUAAGCCCUUGCAUUUAGCCUUACCUCAUCUAGCAUACUAGUAUAUUCAAAGUACUGACACAUACUUUUCUCUUGUGCUAUGGUGUCUUAUACCAUAGGUUCAGAAGUGCGAGACCCUGAGCACCCAUAGCAGUCCAAACUUAGUCAGCAGCAAUAGACGUAGUAGUGAGUCCUCUUCAUUCGGGGAUGCCUCCUAUUUCAGUUAUAUAUUAGAUUCAAUUUAUUUUCAGUAGACGGAGUUAGUUGGGGACAUGUCCAAUCAACUCCACAGAUCAGAUAGUUAGAGGAUUUUCAAAUAGAUGUAUCAGUAUUCAGUUCUCAGUUGUGUAUUUUAGAUGUUUUGAACCUUAUGGUAAAUUUUUGCCAGUUUUCUAUAUUUGUUAUAUUAUAUUAUGCAGUGCUCAGAUACAGAUAUCAGUAGAGGGUGAGUUUGUGGUCCAUCGGGAUCAUGAGCACCGUGUGGUUUUCCGAUUCCAAAAAAUUAAGGCAUUAAAAACUUGGUAUCAGAGCCUAAAGUUUAAUAGUAUCCUAGGAUUUUGAAAAGUCGCAUCUAGUAGAGUCUUGUGCAUGGGUGUGUUGCGCGCCAUAUUUAUGUACAGGAGGCUAUAAGAUGUUUUAGGAAUAGUUUCCCUCCUUUCAGUAUUCAUGUCGUGCGAGUAAGUAUAAGUUCCAGAUAAUUCUUAGCCUAAUCCAUUCCUCCCUUCAUUUACAGAAUAUGUCUUCCAGAGAAGAUAGUGAAAGAAGUAAUGAAAAUCAGCUAGCCCCCCCAGCCCAUUCAGGCAAAUCCCUCGAAUAGGCAUGUCUCUCAUGCAGAGUUCAGAGUUGCUGUCACCACCUUAGCUUAUGCAGUAGUUGCUUAGAACAAUUUGCAGAAUGCUGUCCUAUCUAGACUUUUGACUUGCACUCAGCAGAAUGAAGGAAUAGAGUGUAGGAUGAAUCAGAGGGCUAGAACAACUACCUCUGCACCAAGAUCAAGGGGUAGUAACCGCUUUCAGUCCUGUCAGAGAUUCUUAGCACCAGUUCCACUGUCAGUCCAGACACUAGUGUCUAAGUGUAAGAAUGUCAGUCGAGAUGGAGCACCAAGCUAUAAGCCACUAGGUCGUGGGAAGAGUGUUCUCACCUAUCCGCUUGGCAAAGAAUGUGGUAAGAACUAUAAGAGGGUGUGUAGAAUGGACAACGAUUUAUGCUUCGGAUGAGGUAAACCAGGCCACAAACUAUGGGAGUGUAGAAUAACAGCUCAAAGGGGUAAAUAUUUGCACCAGCAGGGCACCACCUCCAGUAGGCAGUGCCCAAUCAGGCUUUCUGCACCUCUGACUCACCAUGAUCAGGAAAUUUCUUCAAAUAUAGUUACGGGUACGUAUGAGUUUCUCAUCUUUAUGUUUAUGCUCAGUUAGAUUCCAAGGUUUCUCUUAGUUUCUUGUUAAGAAAAGAUUGUAGCAUGCUUGUUUUACACAAGGAUUUAGUCACGAAGAUAGGCUUAAAUGUUAUGUUAAUGUGUAAGUGGAUAGAUAUAUUUCAGAGAUUUGAGUAGGCUUGAACUUAGCAGGAGAAGUUAUUUCAGCUCAGACCUCAAACGGCAGAGGUAUCAGUGCCAAAACUACAGAACUCUAGCCAUGUUAUGGUUUUCUAUUCAGAUGCCAUAUUCAGAUCAUACCAAGGUUCCUUACUCCCUAAGGUCAUUAGAACCUUAUAGAAAGAAUGUCAGAGAAAACUUCAGUUAAGUUUAAGUUUUCAGCAUGAGUUAGUCAGUAAAGCCAGCAAGUCAGUUUAGCAGCUAGACAGUCAGAUUCAUAUAGUUUGUUUUCUCAUCUUUUUAUUUACGCAUGCUAUCAGAAACCUUAGAAAUGUAACUAUCCCACGAUAGAGUAUUCUAAUAGUUGCGAGUAUAACUUAGUUCAUGUGUCAUGCAUUAGAUUCGGAUCCCAAAAGUUUAGUUAUGAACCAGUUCAUAGGUGCCUUGUGCAUCGCCUCAGUUUUCUCAAGUACUUUAGUGAAGUAAUAGUUCUAAGAGGGACAUAGUGUCCCAUGGGGGAGAUACCCUAUGACUCCCCAAAGUUUUCAAGUCCUUAAACCCAUUUAGUUUCACGCUUAGCUUCUCAUUACAAGUUAGCAUCAGUUAUUCUUGCAUAAUCAGUCAAGCAUUCAUAAGUUAGUUCAGUCAAGUAGUCAUGCAUUAGAUAUACAUGUUAAGUAGAAAAAUUCAGAUUUUCAGUGUAUUCAGUCAUGCAUUCAUGAGAAUUCAGCUUAUGAGUAGCCUCAGUCACGAACCCAUGCAUCAGAUAUGCAUGUUUAUUAUGAGAAUUCAACUUGUCAAUAGUUUCAGCCAGGUAUUCUAUGCAUCAGCUAUGCAUAUCCAGUAGAAGAUUCAGUAUAUCAGUAGUUCAGUUGUAUAGAUAUGUUUCAGAUGUUUUCGUUCCCUAAGUGAGUUCAGUCUAUCAGAAAUCUUAGCUUAGUCAGCCACAUUCGAGGACGAAUGUUCCCAAGGGGGAGAUAGUGUAACGCCCCAUAAAAUUUCUGAGUCCUUAGAACUUUUAAAGAACGCCAAGAAAGGAUUAACACUUAGAAAAGUUGGCUAAAUGUUGAAACUUUUUCAUUCUAUAAGCCUUUGAAACUUUGACAAAUUAUUUCGUGACCUUCCCGACCUCCAAUUCUUGAUUUUCUUGUUGCGUUACGAUGGGGCAAGUCAAGAGUACAUCCCAGGUGAGUUUUAAAAUUUUUAGACGAGCCUAAGGUCAUGUUUGGGUUGGCAAAAUAGUAGCUAAAGGCUACAGAGGGGCGCCUCCUAGCUUAGAGCCUUGGCCCGCUCCCUCAGUAGCAAGGCACCGCCCAACCUACAAAAGGCUCUGGGAAAGGCGCCGCCUUUCCAUAGCCCUUGUGCCCAGUUUUUCAGCAUUUCACUUCCGUAUUUCCAAGGUAAAUUUGGUCAAAUCCCACCCCUAUAUAAACUUCCUUAACAUGAGAUUCAUCAUAUUUUCUCCUAAAAUAUAAGGUUUUCUCUCAAUUUUCCUCGAGAACAAGAAUAAGAGUUUCUAUUGAAGGUUCAAAAUCAAGGAAAUUCCUCCAUUAAUUUUUCAAGAAUCAUGUAUCAAGGUAUGUUGGAUGUUUAUUAUUGGGUUCCUUCCACCCAAGAAGUCCAAGAAUCCCUUUUUUAAAUUCAAGAUUUUAUGUUUAUGAGUUUUUCAUGAUUUAUGUGGUUUGAAGUUGAAGCCCAUAUUAAUAUUAAGUUCUAAUUCAUGUUGUGAUCAUAAAGAUGCAAGCAUUGACCUUAGUAUGUGUUGGUUAUGUGAUGUUCAUAAUAAAGUCCCUUCAAGAAACAUGUUGAAUUAUGUAAUUAUGUUAAUUUGGUGUAUUGAAUGUUGUAUGGCCAAAGGGUGCCCCCAUAUGUUUGAUAAAUUGCUUAUGUGAAGAAAAUAGUGUCAUUGCAAUAAGAUGUAUGUUAUUCCCAAGCAUAUGUCAACUAGUGCAUGCUAAGUGUUUGUUAAAAGGCCUAAAUGAAUGAAUUAUGAUAUGUUGCAUGUAUUCCUAUUUAUGUAAAUUCCUUGUUGGAUGAGUUAUGAGACAAUAGCAUGCUUCCCUUUACAAUUACAUGUUUAAGAUUCCCAAGUGCUCGAAAUGAUGCUUCAUUGGUUAUGUUGCGAAUGAUAGUCUAUUGUCAUGGUAGUUACGCAAAAGUUGUCAUGUCUUAUUUAUUUAUGCUAUCGAGUCCUAGGGUAUUUAAUACCCAAAAAUCUAGCUGCUUGUCUAAAUCCGAGUCAGUCUCAAGAUAAUCUCAGUAGUGCUACGAUCAGUAUAUCUCAGUUAGUGACAGAAGUUAAGAAAACUCAGCAAUCUCAGUAAUCGGUCUAAUCAAGUUUAGUAUUCAGUUCAGACCUUCAUAGUAUUCCGUCAAUCAAUGGAACCAAGUAAACUCAGUCAGAUCAGUCAAGUAAGAUAAUCAGUAACAGAUUUAUCUCAGUCUAGUACGAUAUAAGAAUCAGUUUAAUGUUUAUUCAGUUGGGAGUAGGAUUCAGCACCGAACGAGGGCAAGGAUAAUGGCUUCCCCUUUAUUUUAGGCAGAGUCGUUAAUAACAAUCCCUGUACUCUAGAACUGCAUAGCCAACACAGGAUGAGGAGUCAUCCGUCAUAUUAGGCUUGACUACCUCCCUAGAGUCACCCGUUAUAUUAGGAUUGGCUCCAACCAGGUGUCACCCAUUAUAUUAGGUUUGGCAUCCUGGGUUCAGAUAGAAGUGUCUUUACUCAUGGCACGAUAUUAGCACCCUUCCAACUGGGGUUACAAGUUGGACCCCAACUAGAUAGAAGGGGCAUGUCGGUUAGAUGACUACCUCCCACAGUUUCAAUUUCAACUUCAGUCUUAGUAAUAGAACUUAGUUGAGGAGUCACCCGUUAUACUAGGCUUGACUACUACUCAGAGGUCACCCGUUAUAUAGGCUUGAUCCCAAAUUUAGACAAUCAUUAUCAGUAAACUUAGAGAUCACCUGUUAUUUAGGCUUGAUCUCAUAUUCAGUUAAUCAAGUAUCAGACAUUAUCAUCAAUAGAUUCAGAGAUCACCCGUUAUUUAGGCUUGAUCUCAUAUUUAGUUAACCAAGUAUCAAACACUAUCAGUAGUAAACUCAGAGGUCACCGUUAUAUAGGCUUGAUCUCAGAUAUGGUAACUCAGUAUCAGUAUCAGUUAGCUUAGAUAUCAAUCUCAAUAACUCAGUUAUUCAGUUUCCCCAAGUUCGUGAACUCAGAUAUCAAUACUACUAGACUCAGUCAUCAGUAAGUCAGUAUUCAGAAACCUGUAUUUCAGAAUCUAGCAUUAGUAUUAUUGCGAUCUCAGUUUUUAGUUUGUGCAUUCAUGCAUACAUCCUCAUUUGGUAUUCUCAUGUUAUUUAGUUAAGUAAUGUUCAUGCAUAAGUCCUUGCAUUCAGCCUUAUCUCAUCUAGCAUACCAGUACAUUCAAAGUACUGACGCAUACUUUUCUCUUGGGGUUUGGUGUCUUAUACCAUAGGUUCAGAAGUGCGAGACCCAGAGCACCCAUAGCAGUCUAGACUCAGUCAGCAGCAGUAGACGUAGUAGUGAGUCCUCUUCAUUAGAGGAUGCCUCCUACUUUAGUUUUAUAUUAGGUUCAAUUUAUUUUCAGUAGACGAAGUUAUUUGGGGACAUGUCCCAUCAACUCCAUAGAUCAGACAGUUAGAGGCUUUUCAGACAGAUGUAUCAGUAUUCAGUUCUCAGUUGUGUAUUUUAGAUGUUUUGAACCUUAUGAAAAAUUUCCUCCAGUUGUCUGCAUUUGUUAUAUUAUAUUAUACAGUGCUCAGGUACAGAUAUCAGUAGAGGGUUAGCUUGUGGUCCUUCGGGAUCAUGAGCACAGUGUGGCAUUUAGAUUUCAAAAAUUGGGGCAUUACAAUUCCCUUGAUUUCUCACAAAAAUCACAAAUAAAAUGAUUCCAACCCUCAAUAAUAAUUAAUUUUGGAUUCCGUGAAUCCAAUUUUUCUACUAUAUUUUCACUUGUCAUAAUCCUAAUUCACAAAAUUCUUCAACAAGAGUUUGAUGGAUGCCUCAUCGCAAAAUGCUCAACCCGUUUGUGGGGAACAAGUACUUGAACUCCUAAAUUGCACCAUUGAAUCUCCUUAUGAUAAGGACAAAUGUCAACAUUUGCUUGAUUCACUGCACCUAUGUGUUAUAAACAAAAAAGUAAAGAAAUUCUUUCUUGCUGCUGAACCGAGCAUUGAAAAAUCAAAUGGGAGCAAUGAGAAAAGAAAUUAAUCCCUGUGAAGUCCUAAAGAGUGUCUUCUGUGAUGUUAAAUUUGCUCUUGAUUCUUCUAAUUUAGACUACCUUGGGAACCUUGACCUGUUCAGUGGAAUAGAAUUUGCCUUCCUAUUAUAAUGGAAGGUAGAAUUUUCUUUUACCUGUAUAAUAAUUUUCCUAAAUAUCAUCCAUUUUACAAUUUUCUUGAAAAAAGAAUAAUAAUAAUUAAUUUAUUUUUAUAUAAAAAUAUAAUAUUACUUGAAAAUUACGUGGCAUGACAUGACCGAUGAGUGAUGCUCACUUUCCAUUACACAUCUGGGUGUGAGUUUUCGGGAGGAUAAUAAUUCCAUUUUUAAAAUGUUCAGGAAGGUCAUAGGACCCCCGCAAAGUAUAAGUGUGUAGUUGAGAUUUGGGGCAAAGGUUGGGGGCUCUUUUGGCCAUUUUUUGAAAAUAGACAUUUAGAUUAAAAAAAGGAAAGCAUACUAAACUUUUUUUGCCUUCUUUUUAGGAAUAUGAUUCAAGUACAAUUCUUUCCACAAAUUAUAAAAUUUGGAUUUGUUGAAAUCAAUAUUAAAGUAAUGGUAUAAUGCACAGUGUUUUUUUUUCUUAUUUUUUAUUUUCAUUCUUAGUUGUGUAAUAGAAUUUAUACUAAUGGUAUUGUUGUAAAUCUAUAGUUAAAUAAUAAUAUAAAUUGCUUCAUUACAUUGGAUGCUUAAAAAUAAUUUAAUCUAUAUCUAUAUCUCUAAUUUAUAUCUAUACCUAUCUAUAAUCUAUUCUAUAAUAUAUUAAAAGUGUGAAGAUCCUUAAUAAAGUGAUUUGAACUUUCUACCCUUCAUUAAAAAGACUUAUUUUAGAGUUAAUCGUCUUUUCACCUUUUUAUUUCAAUUAAAUAUAUCCAAAAAAAUUAUUUCAAUUGAAAAUUGUUCUAUGAUUUUCUAACUGUCUCUUAUUUGGUUUGUGAUACAAAUUUUCCAUCUACAACUGACAAAACUGUCAUUUACUAUUUUAAAAUAUUUAAGGCUAUUAUUAACUAAAAUAAUUUCAUAAUUAAAUUAAUCCUAUUUUGAUUUAAGUAGAAAGUCCUACAACUAUUUAGGAUUUAAAUGUAACUAAAAUUUACCUUGUAAUAUAAAUCUCAUGAAUAAAUUUUUCCUAUUUUGAUUUAAGUAGGAGGUCCUACAACUAUUUAGGAUUUAAAUGUAACUAAAAUUUAUUUUAUAAUAUAAUUUUUUUAUAAAUGCUUAUCAGUGCAAUAUAUACUAACCAUAAUUAAUGUUGGAUAAAAAUUUAUUACUUAGAAUUUUAGUUCUUAGAAAACUAGGACUUAAACACCUUAUAUAAUUAUUUACUUAUAUUUAAGAAACAAGAACUCCUAUAUUUAGUAUAUAAAUACUACCAUCUAUAAUUAUUUGCUUAAACUAUAAUUCUAUCUAAUGCCUUUUACAAAUCAUUGUUGUCGUUUUUCUCUUUUUUUUUUUCUUUUCUUUCUCUUUUAAUCAAACGUAGGACAAAAGCAUAUACCAUUCAGGAUGACCUUUUUGAUGUGGAGAGCAACAAUUAAUAAAGUUCCAACAAAUGAGAUAUUGAUAAAGUUUGAAAUGAUAUUCAAUCAAAAUGUUAUUGCUAUCUAUUGAAGUGACAUCAAAUCUGCAAUCCAAAAAAUGUUGAAUUUAUUUUUGUAUUUAUUUUUAUUAUUUAAAAAAAUAUCAUAUUAAAUGUAACGUUUGAACUCAUUAAAGUGAGAUACACGCGCAUGACGCGUAUACCUAAACUAGUUUAGGAAAGAUAGUAAAAAGACAAUUUUAUCUAAAGUAGAGACUUUUAAUACAAUAUAAAUAUUGAUAGAUAUAGAUUAACAAUCUUAAAUCAACUAUUACAAGUAAUUACUCAACCGCGAUUUCGAUAUAAUCACGCAUUUCAUCUCUCAAUCCAUCCAAGUUGAUAUACAACUCCUGUGAUCGAUGCGACCGCAUGAGAAUACACACAUACACGUUUCUUUUUUUAUAACUCCGAAAGACAUAUUUGAUAUAUAUUGUCAUUGAAACAAAUACCGUUUAAUUUGGAGUAGGGUAAAAAAGGGAACUGAUCUAUUGUUUUUUGACCAGAUGAUUUUGUUCUACUAUUUUUGACUCUUUUAAUACACACUUCUACUAAAUGAUAAAGCAAAAACAAAAAAAGAAGAUAGCCCCAAAACUCUAACAAUAUAUCUCGUCAGCCUCAGAACUCCAACAAUAUACAGCCUCAGAACUUCAACAAGAUUAAUGGUGGAUCUUUAGAUGUAUAACUUACACACAUGCUUAACAAAAUAUAUAUAUAUAUAUAUUAAUUUAAAUUUUGAUAUUAAUUGACGUGAUGCACUUGGGACACAGACAUGAUGCACAUGGUGCUCACUAGAUGCACAUAAAACACACAUGAAAGCUAAUUUAUUGAUUAUGCUCAAAAAGAGGGCAGGAGUGGCUUAAUGGAAUUGGUAUCCCGAUUCAUCCAAGUUGAUAUACAACUUUUGUGAUAGAUAUGGCUGCAUGGGAGUACACACGCAUUUUUUUUAAACUCCAAAAAAUAUAUUUGACAGGCAUUGUCAUUGAAACAAAUUCCCUCUAAUUUGGAGUAGGGGAAAUAAGAAAAUUGGUCUACUGUUUUUCGGCCAGAUUAUGUUUGUUCUACUAUCUUUGACUCUUCUAAUACAAACUUCUAAUGAUAAACCAAUAACAUAAAAACAAAACAGCCCCAGAACUCCAACAAAACUGGCGUUCAAUCUCAUCUAGUGAACUUUGUGACAUGAGCUAAUGUUUGAAAAUUUAUAAUCAAAGACAUUCCUUGCUAAGUUUGCGUACGUUGAAGCACUGCAAUAGCUAGGGAAAAAGAUUAGAGGAGUGAUUUUAUGAAUAAACUCAUAAGUGAAUAAUGUUGAUUAUAUAUAAUAUUCAAAUUUCAAAGAGUAAUUCAAGUUAGAAUCCACACUUAAUAUCCUACGUAAAAUUGCUUUUGUUAUGAUGAGAUGGAGGCAACAAACAAAUUUUGUAAGUAAAUCACAUAAUCAUAUCUAUAAAGAAAUUCAUUUGCACCAAGUUUUCCAUAAUGACAAAUUACAUUAUUGUAAGUAAUUGUUAAGCAAUUGGUUUUCUUUCUAGGAGUUUCGCCAUCACAUUACACAUAAGAAUAACUAACGUUGAAUAAAGACACCAAUCAAAUUUGCUAUGAAUAGGAAAAGUUUGAAAAAUAGUUUCUUUUGGAUUGAUAAUUUAGUCAGCGUUUCAAGUAAUUCCAUGUGUAGCUACUUUUUAAUACUAAAUAAUCUUUUACCAAAACUAUCCUUCACUCAACACAUGAAAGUUUGGUAAUUUUUAAGAAAUUAAAUUUUGUAUACUAUCAGUAUACAAAAUAUUUUAUGCUACUUUUCAUGGACUUUUUAUGUAUCUAUGUGAAAAUCCACACUUAACAUCUUACGUAAAACCGUUCUUAGCUUGGUACAGUCAACAAAGAAAGUUUGUACUUUGUACGUAAAUCACAUAAUCAUAUGAUCAUAUCUGAUAAGGAAAUUCAUUGAUUGUAAAUAUUUGUCAUACCUCUUUAUUUUUAUUUUUAUUUUGGUUUGUAAAAGUAGGACAAACGAAAAUUAAGCAUAAAGAUAAAGUGGAGUUCCAUUGGAGAGUAAUACUUCAAGCAACAAACUAAAAUUUAGAACUUAUCAAAGAACAGAACUUUAGGUUAUUUUGGGACCAUAACUACAACAUUUUAGGUGUUUAUCCAACAUAGAAAAGUGUGGCGUAAAAUGUUGAAAAACCUUGUUUGAUCAAAAGUCACGCUUUUCGACUUUAGGUAAUAUUUUUUUGAGGUGGCUUAAAUUAGGGUAACCUUUUUUUCAGGCCAUGUUUUUUCAACUAUUGCAUUAGAAACCCUUAGGGCAACAAGAGCCGCAAUGGCAACGCUUUUGAUACCUUAAAUUACAUGUAACCUUUCCUACUUAUAGGCCACACUAGCAUUGCCUAGCCAUUAAGAUAUUUAUUUGUCUUUUCAAUCUUAAUAUAUUUAAAUAAAUUUUUUUAUAAAAAAGAUUGCAUAUGUUUUCUAGGAUUCAUCCGAAAUCUAGCAUGAGUUCAAUAUAUGUUAUUUUAAUACGUAUUUAGAUAAUUUAAGUUGUUAACUAUUGUAAUUUAUAAUAUUUUUUAUGUAAUUUUAAAAUUAAUAUGCGUUACUUUUCUUGUCCAAAUUAUUGUGGCAUUGAUAGUCAAUUAUAUUUUAAAAAUAAUUUAUGUUAAUUAUUGUGGUUUCUAGUAUCUUUCAUAUAAUUUUUUUGAAAUCUAUAACAUAUUAAAUUAUUUUUAGAUAUUUUAAAUUGUUAACAGUUGUAAUUUAUAAUACUUUUCAUGUAAUUUUUGAAUAAUAUAUGCCACUCUCCUUGUCCAAAAUUUUGUGUCGACGACAGCCAAUUAUAUUUUUUAAAUAAUUUAAUAUUUUGAUCAUUGUGAUUUAUAAUAUUUUUUUUUAUCUCAACUUAUGUGGCACAAUACUUAAAUGACCAUAAUAAUUAAUUCGAGGUGAUAUAGUAAAAUCACGACUGAAGCAGCUGAAGUAGAAAUCAGUCAAUUUUUAAAUUUUUUUUGAUUAAUUAUUGUUAUUUACAGUACUUUUUAUUUCAUUUUCAAAUAAUAUAUGUUGUUUUAUAUAUUCUUCUAUCCCGUCCUAAUUUAUGUGGCACUAAUAUAAUUUUGAAAGUCAAUCAAAUAUUUUAUGUUGACAUAUUAUUUUAUUAUUACUAUUUUUAUAAUACAUAAAUGACUUAUAAUAAGGAGUGAUAUAGUAAAAUCAUCGUUUGAAAGACAAAAAUUUAAUUUAAAACAUUAAGAGUUAAUUUCGUAUUUUAUGUCUAUUUUAUUUUUCAUUAAAUAUUAUUUAUUUUCUUAAUANNNNNNNNNNNNNNNNNNNNNNNNNNNNNNNNNNNNNNNNNNNNNNNNNNNNNNNNNNNNNNNNNNNNNNNNNNNNNNNNNNNNNNNNNNNNNNNNNNNNNNNNNNNNNNNNNNNNNNNNNNNNNNNNNNNNNNNNNNNNNNNNNNNNNNNNNNNNNNNNNNNNNNNNNNNNNNNNNNNNNNNNNNNNNNNNNNNNNNNNNNNNNNNNNNNNNNNNNNNNNNNNNNNNNNNNNNNNNNNNNNNNNNNNNNNNNNNNNNNNNNNNNNNNNNNNNNNNNNNNNNNNNNNNNNNNNNNNNNNNNNNNNNNNNNNNNNNNNNNNNNNNNNNNNNNNNNNNNNNNNNNNNNNNNNNNNNNNNNNNNNNNNNNNNNNNNNNNNNNNNNNNNNNNNNNNNNNNNNNNNNNNNNNNNNNNNNNNNNNNNNNNNNNNNNNNNNNNNNNNNNNNNNNNNNNNNNNNNNNNNNNNNNNNNNNNNNNNNNNNNNNNNNNNNNNNNNNNNNNNNNNNNNNNNNNNNNNNNNNNNNNNNNNNNNNNNNNNNNNNNNNNNNNNNNNNNNNNNNNNNNNNNNNNNNNNNNNNNNNNNNNNNNNNNNNNNNNNNNNNNNNNNNNNNNNNNNNNNNUUUAUGUGGCAUUGCUAAAAUAAUGAGAGUCAAUAAAAUUUCUAUAUGUCUUUUAAAUAUUUUAAGUUAUUAAUUAUAGUGAUUUGUGGUAAGAAAUUAGUUUUGAACAUGAUAGCCAAUUAAAUAAAUAAAAUUUUUUACUUCCAAUAUGUAGUUAUAGUUAAUUAAUAUAAAUUAAUAGAAUAUAUUAAAUAUUUAAAUCAUUAUGAUGAAACAAUAGAAUUAUUAUAUAUUGGGGCAUGGUAUGUAAUUAAGUGGGAGUAGAGGGUUUUUUUUUGGGUAAGAGUCAAUAAAAUUUCUGUAUGUCUUUUAAAUAUUUUAAGUUAUUAAUUAUUGUGAUUUGUGGUAACAAAUAAGUUUUGAACAUGAUAGAAAAUUAAAUAAAUAAUUUUUUUACUUCCAAUAUGUAGUUAUAGUUAAUUAAUAUAAGUUAAUAAAAUAUAUUAAAUAUUUAAAUCAUUAUGAUAAAACAAUAGAAUUAUUAUAUAUUGAGGCAUGAUAUGUAAUUAAGUGGAAGUAAUUGGGUUAUUUUGGUAAUUGCAAGAGGUGGUCGAAACCACCUCUUCUAUAUAAUGGAAAUAUUUUGUAAUGUGUAACCUUUACUGAUAUAUAUACCACAAUUCACCAUCAAUAAGCCACAUAAUUGAUGUUCCUAUCACCUAUGACCAAACUUUUAAAGCGCGGUAAUAUUGUGUAGGAUGUAAAAUAUUAUUGUUAAAAUUUAUAUGUAUAACCAAAAACUCAAGUAUGUAUAAAGUGAGAUUUUUAUUUUUUUUAAAAAAAAAACAAGCAACUCUUUGGGGAUCCCAUCUAAGUUGAUAAAAUAUUAAAUUAUUUAAUAUCAAGUAAAGCAAUAAUAAAAGUAUAAACAACAUAAACCCCAACAGUUUGCUACUUAAUUACACUCUUCCCUAUCUUUUUUCAUUAUUAUUACUCUAAAUUUCAUCCAGAUACAUAAAUGAAAGUCAUGAUAUAUAACACACCGAUACAUCACUACCAAACUAAUUGACUAUAAAAAAGAAAAAUAACGGUAAAAAUGAAGAAAACAAUGCAACUAAUGCGAUUCUGCUUGGAAUCUGUAUCUUGAAUCCUAAAAAUUAGUAACAGCUUCAUAAUUCAAUUUUGAAUUACCAAAAACAAUCCCAUUCGAUGAAAAUUCUUUCAAAUUCUCUCAUCUCUGUUUUCUUCUUCUAAUUUCUUUAUUUUGAAUACGUUAUGAACAUCUCCAUUCUGUUGAGAUUUUACAGUGUCUGAAUGAAUAAACUUCAAUAUAUAUAAUACAAAAAUAAUGAAAUUAUUGUUGGAGAAAGUGUUUCAUUUUUUAGAUUGAUUUCGACAAUUUCAAUCAAAUUUGGUAUUGAUUAAUCAAAAUAAAAUCGACGUCAAAUACGUUGUCGAAGAAAAUUCAUUGCCAAUGGUGAUUUGGACCGACAAUGAAGUAAAACUUUAUGUUGAGUUCAAGAAUAAUGUUUUCAAAUUUGUAAUGUAGCUCGAAUGAUGGUAUAUUGGUGCUAUAAUUUGAUACAUUAAUGCUUAUAACAGUUCAAUUGCAUAUGGAAAACGAAUUUCAUAUUUUUUUUUAUUAUGUUUCAUAAGAUACGCUAUUUUCAUAUGUUUCAUAAGAGACGAUUAGUAGAAUAGUGUUGUUGGUUUGUAUGGUACAUUUCUCUUCAUAUUUUUUAAUAUUGUAUCAGGUUUUUAAAAGACUUAAGUCGUCGACAGGCCCUCAAAGUUGUCCCGAAAAUUCACUUAGACCCCUCAACUAAGGCGUGUACCUAUUAGGCCCCUAACCCACCCGAAUUUUGAUUCAAUCAGGCCUUUUUUGCCUACAUAGCACACCGCGUGCAAUGUACUCGCAGGGGCCGCGAGAAGAGUGAUUUUUUUACUAAAUCACGAAUAGAAAGGUGCCAAGUGGUACUGAGGGCCCCCAAAAAAUAUUUAUUAAAAAAUUUAUAUUUAAAUUAUUUUAUUAAUANNNNNNNNNNNNNNNNNNNNNNNNNNNNNNNNNNNNNNNNNNNNNNNNNNNNNNNNNNNNNNNNNNNNNNNNNNNNNNNNNNNNNNNNNNNNNNNNNNNNNNNNNNNNNNNNNNNNNNNNNNNNNNNNNNNNNNNNNNNNNNNNNNNNNNNNNNNNNNNNNNNNNUUCAACCCCCCACCCCAUUGUUGUUAAUUCUUUCUUCACAGCAACCCACCUUCACCAUUGUCGUUAACUUUUUUAGGACAACAAUAAUUAAAUAAAUCAUUAAUUAAAGCUUUUCAUCAAUGAAAAUGGCGACAUUGAAAUUCCUUACCAUUAAUUUUUUAAUGGUAAAUUUAGCAUUGAACAAUAACGAAAAUGGCAACAUUGAAAAUUUUCAUGAACAAUUAAACAAUUAAAGGUAAAUUAAAUAAUUUUUCAAUCAUUAAUUUUUCAAUGUAGACAUUGAAAUUAAAUAAAUCUUUCAAAUUUCUUACCAUUAUUGUUACCUUUCAAUGUCGCCAUUUCGAUUAGAUUUGUUUUUAAAUCUGUCGACGAGUCUUCAUUUUUUACGAUAAGAUUCAUACGAAUUUAAAAGGUAAUUUAAAUCCUAAAGAACCCAAUUUAUAUUUUUGUCGCAGGUGUGUGUGUGUGAAAUAUGUGUGUGUGAACUGUGAAGACGCCGGGGGAGGAAGUGUGAAGAUGAUGACUGGGUGGGGGGUUGCUUUUUUUCUUUUUUCUUUUAAUUAAAAAUAAUUAUUAAAUAAAUAUUUAAAUAAAAAAUGGACAAAUCAGCAACUCCAUUUUUUAAUUAUUUUUUUAUCACGUAUUUUUUUUAAUUGGUUAUUUUAGCCACGUCACGUGAGUGUGUACACACACUCUAUACUUAUUGAUGAUUAGGCAAAAAAGGCCUGAUUGAAUCAAAAUUUGGGUGGGUUAGGGGCCUAAUAGGUACAGGCCUUAGUUGAGGGAUCUAAGUGAAUUUUCGGGACAACUUUGAAGGCUUGUCGAUGACUUAAGCCUUUUUAAAACAUACAUGUUGAUAUUUUGUUUAUGUAUCAUUUCCUAAUAUUGUAUUAUUUUUCUGAUACAUUUAGCUAGGGUUAUUUGUUGGUUGAUGUUCUUUGCUGUAGUAAUAUAGUACAUUAUUGAUUAUGACAAUCUUAGUGUACACAAAAACUAAUAACAUAGGGGAUGAUGAGUAGAAUAGUGUUGUUGGUUAUUAUGAUACAUUACUAAUUAUGUUUUUUAACAAUAAAUAGUAUUUUUAAAAUAAACAUGUUGAAAAUUUUUUGAUGUUGAAUUUACUGAUAUUUUAACUUAUUUUCUGAUACAUAUAGCUUUCAACUUAUUUUUAACAUACAUGUUGAUGUGUUUUGUCGUUCAAAUGAGUUUUAUGCUAUUUCAUGAAAGGUGCACCAUGUUAAUAUGAUUUUAUUCAUUAAAUAUGACUAUGAUACAUCACUAUUUUCAUCAAAAAAAUAACAGUUAUAAAAUGAUACAUAACUUUAGAAGAAAUAUGUAAACUUUUAUACAUUAAGAUUUUAACAGAUAGAUUACAAACUUGUAACUAUCCAUUACUAAGUCACCAAAAUAGACAUAAUAUCAAAAUUAUGAUACAUUGUGCUGUGAAAUAUGAUACAUUGCUAGUAUUUGUAGUAAAAUUUAUGAUACAUAAAUUUACGUAUAUUUAUGUGUUAGUUAUCUGUUAUAUCAUUAUGGUUUGAUAUAUUAAUAUAAUAUAUGUAUAUUUUUGUAUAUGUAGUGUAUAAUCAAAAUAUUUUGAAAAUACAAGAUCAGUAGAACAAACUUAUUAUUGCAUAUAAUGAUACAUUUCUAAUUAAUUCUAAAUAUUUUUAAUACAUUAAUAUGUUAAAUUAUUGAGAAAAGACAUCUUUUCCUUCCUGAACUUGUCCUCCCAACUCAUUUUAGCACUUAAACUUAAGUUCUGUUUAUUUGUCCUCCUUAACAUCUUUAAAGUGUAUUAAAAUCCUCCCUUAACUGCUCGCGUGUAAACAAGCGUCGUUGAGCACGUUAAAACUCAUUUUUUUGUCUAUCUAAUUUCUUGUAAAUAUUUAUUUAAAGAAAAAAAUGCAUAUAUUUAUAUAUAAAAAAAUACAUUAAUAUUAUAUUUAAAAUAUAAAAAAAAUUAAAAAAUAGACACCUUUUAUUCUUUCUUCUCCAAAACAUCAACAACACUCAAAUCCCUCCAUUAACAGCCUCAAAUUCAUUCUCCAUCAACACUCUUCUUCAAUUUUUUUCAUUUUCCUCCAUUGACACCAUCAAAGAACAACCACAAAGACAUUAAAUUUAAAAAAAUUCUCUAUUGAACACCUUUUAUUCUUUCUCCUCCAAAACAUCCAUAACACUCAAAUUCCUCCAUUAACAACCUCAAAUUCAUUUUUCACCAACACACUUCUUCAAUUUUUUUCAUUUUCCUCCAUCAACAUCAUCAAAGAACAACCACACGAACACUAAAUUAAAAAAAAAUCUCCAUUAAACACCAUCUCAAACUUCAAUUCAACUCCCUCAAAAUUUGGACAAAAAUUAAAUUAAAUUGAUGAUUUUCCCUUUAAACAACUUACCAUGAAUGAAAUUUCUUUGAAUUUUUACUUUUGAAUUUUUUUGUUAAUAGGAUAAUUUUUGAAUUGCUUUUUUAAACUCCAAACUUGAAUCAGAAAUAAGAAAAAGAAAACAUCACAAACUUGUUUGUAGGGGUAGGGUUGCGGCUGAUAGGGGUUGAAAAAAAUAAAGGUGUUUUUGUGUUAACAAGAAAGGAGUGAGGAAGGGGGGUUGGGGGGCUAGAAGGGGAGAAAGAGCUAAGAGGGGUACCUACUUUGCUGGGGAGGGGUUAUGGGGGAGAAGGGGGGGAAGGGGGGCGCUGUCACACCCCUUUUUCAACCCGAAAAGAUUAUAUUUUUUAAUGUUUCAAAGGAUUUUAAUAUUAAGUGACAAAAGAUGAGAAUUUUUUUCGAAAAAGAUUAUUUAUAUUCAAAACUUAGAGUCGCCACUUGACAUAAUCCGGUGUGCCAAGUCACCUUUGAAAGAUCCUUUUCAAAACGAUUUGACUCUUUAAAACUGGUUUGCGAAUAGACAUCCUGGUUAAGGUAUUUUAUUGACAGAGGGGAAGGUGUUAGGCACUACGAGUGUAUCGGUUAGUUUGACACUACGAAUGUACAAACCACACAAAAACACGUAAAACAAUCAAACAAACAAACAAAACAAAACGAAUAAAAAAUAUAUUGUCCAGUCCAAGUUAUACAGUUCCAAAAAUAGAAAAAUACGAAAAUGUAAAUUCUAUUCUAAACUAAUCCUAGACUAAGAUCCAUGCCUCACCCGAUGCCUCGGGCCUUCAUCACGGACGUCCUCCGAGUACAGAAUACUUCAGGGUAUUCUCCGGAUAAAAUAAUACAAGUACUUCUCGGGGCAUUCCCCGGCUAAAUGAAUACAUUUGAAUUAAAUAUGAUAAACUAGAAAGAAACAUUCACAUGCACAUUACAACAUUCAACCAAAACAAAAAGUUCUAAAAUUUGCCUACCCGAACCUAUAUUGCCUAUCCGUUUCAACACAUCAUAAAUCUAUCAUGAUUCAUAUCAACAAUAAAUCAAAAUUAAACCGAAUCUAUCCUUUUUGUCAAUUUUCAAUUCUCACACUCAAAUCCCUUUUAUCAAUCACCACUAUUAGCAAACACCAUUUCAAUAAUCCAUACUUAUUUUUAGUAAUGAAUUUAAACAGCAAAACAAUAUCAAUGAAAUCAAGCCAUCAUAAUCAACCAACACGUAAUGCAACCAAUCAAAAUUAAGAAAAGAGAAUGGGUUGAAGAAAUGGACCUCAAUAGAUCUUGAUUUCGUCGAUAAUAAAGAAAAUUCGAACUUGAAACUUUGAAUUAAGCCUCAAUAACGAAUAUAUCCAACUUGGUAUCGAUGAACAAGCAACCCAAAACGGACCACAAUAAACCAACCAAGACCAAAACAGAAAUCACCACCAAAGGAACCUAAGUAUGCAAAAAUUAUUACAGAAUCGAACCGAUACAGGAACGAACAAUCGAUAUUGGUUUGAUCGGCGAUGGGAACUCGAAUAAUGACAAGAGAUUCCGGCCAAUCUAUGACAUUUGGACAUUUUUCUGGUGACCUCAUCAAAGAACACUCAGAAACAGUGAAGAACUUUUAGGUAUUUCAAAGUUGUGAUGACUCAAACCUGUGACGCCCGAAAAUCCAACCAGAAUGACAAUUCCAGUGAUGGGUUUACCAGAAAUCUUAAACCCUCCGUUCUCUCUCUCGAUCUCCUUUCUCUCUCCCUCUCCGUGACUCUUUCUCUUUACCUUCUCUCCCUCUCCGUGACUCUUUCUCUUUACCUUCUACUCUCUUCUUCUGUGUAUGUGCGAUUUAGCCUAAAGAUGUGUGUUUGUUGCAUGAUUCUGUACGUAUGGGUGUGUGUUUUCUUGUUCUUGUGUGUGUGUGCCUUCUUCGUGAAGAAGAAAACCAAGAGCCAAAAUAUGGAUUUUGUUUUUUCUUUGUUACCUGAUGAAGAUGAUAACCAAAGAAUGACACCCCUUCUCUCUUUCUCCGUAUGUAUAAAUAGAAAUUGAGAACCUUUCUUCUCUGUGAAUCACGUGGGCCCCCUUCAAGUUGUUGUGAUGUAUUCUUUUCUCCUUAUCCAAAAAUGAAAAGAAAAAUAUGAUAAAAAAGGAUGGGGUAGGGGUGCAUAUGAAUGGGUGAGGGGGUAGGGAUAGGGUAGGUGAGGCUAAGGGUAUGGGGUGGUGAGGUCUGAGGUGUCUUUUUUUAAUUGGAGAGGUUGUUAUUUUUUAUAUUUUUGUGGGGUAUAAUCACAUGGGUAAAGGUGUACGAUAAAGUGCGGUAAAAAUGAAUAAAAUUGGACUUGAGAGGGACAAAAUUAGGUGUCUACAGCAUGCCCCCCUUUGAAUGUAAACAUGAAGUGUUUUCAAACAAAGAAGUAGACAACGAGACAAAAUUUUGUGCCGACCAUUAUUCAAAAAGAAUGAAACAGAAUGAAACAGAAUAAAACAGAAGGAAAAAGGGAAACCAAUUCUUAACUUUGGACAUCAUACUCAUCCCUAGUUAUAAGAGAGUCAAGUCACAGGUAUCCCCAAGGACUGAAAGAAAAGGGACUAUACCGAGUUGGAGAGUUGAGCGAGGUUCUGUCGAGGUUCCAGUCUACGACUCUGUCAUUACAUCAAAAAUAAAAAUUAUAAGUUAAAACAUAAAUGAAAUUACAAAAUUCCUAUCUAUGCGACUUCUUUUGGACUCUUGACUUGAGUUUCAUCACCCUAUUCUUCAGGCGGGCUCCUGACUUGUAAUUUCUUCAACUUUUUGCCUGACUUUCAAUUUCUUCACCCUGUUCUCUAGGUGGGCUCCUGACUUGCUAUUUUUCAAUUUGUGGACUUUCAAUUUCUUCACCUUGUUAUUUGACUUUCAAUUUAUUCUCCCUGUGCUUCAGGCGGGUUCCAAUGUUGCUUGAAUUAUCAAAACAAGGAAGUGUGCUGCUUACAAAUGCCGCUUGAAUUACCCAAACAAGGAAGUGCGUCUCCUUACAAAUUCCGGUUGAAUUACCCAAACAAGAAAGUGCAUCUCCUUACAAAUGUCGAUUGAAUUACCCAAACAAGGAAGUGCGUCUCCUUACAAAUGCUACUUGAAUUUUGAAAUAAGAAAGUACGUCUCAUUUCCAAUGCCGCUUGAAUUACCUAAAUAAGGAAGUGCGUCUCCUUACAAAUGCCCAUUGAAUUACCAAAAUAAGGAAGUACGUCUCCUUACAAAUGCCGCUUGAAUUACCAAAAUAAGAAAGUGCGUCUCCUUACCAAUGCCUGUUGAAUUACCCAAAUAAGGAAGUGCAUCUCUUUACAAAUGCCGCUUGAAUUACACAAACAAGGAAAUGUGUCUCCUUACAAAUGCCACUUGAAUUAACCAAACAAGAAAGUGCGUCUCCUUACCAAUGUUGCUUGAAAUGUCCAAACAAAGAAGUGCGUCCCCUUACAAAUACUACUUGAAUUACCAAACAAGGAAGUGCGUCUCCUAACAAAUGUUUCUUGACUUACCAAAACAAGGAAGUGCUUCUUCUUACCAAUGUAGCUUGAGUUACCCAAACAAGGAAGUGCGUCUCCUUACAAAUGCCACUUGAAUUACACAAACAAAGAAAUAUGUCUCCUUACAAAUACCACUUGAAUUAACCAAACAAGGAAGUGCGUCUCCUUACAAAUAUUGCUUGAAAUGUCCAAACAAGGAAGUGUGUCCCCUUACAAAUACCACUUGAAUUACCAAACAAGGAAGUGCAUCUCCUAACAAAUGUCUCUUGAAUUACCAAAACAAGGAAGUGCAUCUCCUUACCAACGCCGCUUGAAUUACCCAAACAAGAAAGUAUGUCUUCUUACAAAUACCGCUUGAAUUACACAAACAAAGAAAUGCGUCUCCUUACAAAUACCACUUGAAUUAACCAAAUAAGGAAGUGUGUCUCCUUACAAAUGUUGCUUGAAAUGUUCAAUAAAGAAAGUACGUCCCCUUACAAAUACCAUUUGAAUUACCAAACAAGGAAGUGCGUCUCCUAACAAAUGUCUCUUGAAUUACCAAAAAGAGGAAGUGCGUCACCUUACCAAUGCCGCUUGAAUUACCCAAACAAGGAAAUGUGUCUCCUUACAAUUGUCGCUUGAAUUACACAAACAAGGAAAUGUGUCUCCUUACAAAUGUCACUUGAAUUAACUAAACAAGAAAGUGUGUCUCCUUAUAAAUGUCGCUUGAAUUACCCAAACAAGGAAGUGCAUCUCCUUACAAAUAUUGCUUGGAUUACCCAAACAAGAAAGUGCAUCUCCUUACAAAUGUUGCUUGAAUUGCCCAAACAAGGAAGUUUGUUUCCUUACCAAUGUUGCUUGAAUUAACCAAACAAGAAAGUGCGUCUCCUUACAAAUAUUACUUGAAUUAUCCAGACAAGAAAGUGUGUCUCCUCACAAAUAUCACUUGAAUUAUCUAAACAAGGAAGCGCAUCUCCUUACAAAUGUCUCUUGAGUUAUCCAAACAAGGAAGUGUGUCUCCUAGAGAUAUUGGAUGAUGAGUUUUACCAUGGUUUUGAUUACCAAGCCUGUGCACAAUAUUGUCUCCUGCAUUUGUGGAAGUGAGACAUUGCAACUUUUCAUGUUUAGGCUUUGAAAUCCUUGAUUCGAAGGUAAUAUGUAUUCCUGUUUCAUACAAAGAAAACUUGUUAGUUUAAAAACAUGGUGGCUGAUUUGUGGCUUUGGCUUUUGUGGCAAUCGCUCUUACCCUUGUCACAUUAAUCUUGCUGUCAACCAUUAGCAUAUGUCAUUGACUCACUCCAUCAUUGAUUCGAACUUGGAUUAUCAAGAGUGACUCUGAAACAAACACAGUAUUUUUGCUUUGCCAUGCUUCUCAGAUAAACUCUUUGAGCCUUAAUAUUUCCAUAAGUUCCUAGACUUAUUUAUUGACAAAACUUUCAGCAUGCCUUAUUUCAGCUUACAAUCAUGUCUCUUUCAUGUGUUGGCCUUUUGUCUUGCUUUGUGUAAUUGAAGAAGCUGGUAGCCAGUUUUGAAAUCUUUUCUCACUUGUUUUGAUAUAGAGUUGACUCAAAGACAAGAGAAAAAUGACAAUGACUUUUAUUUGGAUAAUUGACUCGAGAAAACAAAAUAAAAAUAAAGAGAAGAAAGAAAAGACAAUGAAUGUCCCCAUUUGAAAUAAAGAAAUGAAAAAACUAUCUAGAAAUAACAAUCAACUCUAAUGAUUAUACCAUGUAUAUUGGAUCAAGCUUCCCGAUCUUUCCAUCCAAACUUUCUACCAAUUGUUCUUGAGUUAAUGGCUCUGAAACUAAGUUACUUGCUUGGACCCAUUGCAUUCUAAGAGCUCAUUCGGCUAGUGGCACAUUGAAGGAUUUUUGCCAACAAGUCUCUCAUUUUUCUCUCAACUCACCAUCGCCUUAUGAUGCCCAUGGUGCCCAUGGGUUUUCACCAAUAAAACUCUCUCAUUUUUAUCUCUCUCAACUUAUCAUUGCCUUAUGGUGCCCGUGAGGGUUUUCACCAAUAAAAUUCUCAUUUUUAUUUCUCUCCUAAUUUCUUAUGCAAAGAAAGACGAGUAGUUCCCAAAAUGUGUCAUCAUAUCCAUUGCAUGCUUAGUCUUAACAUUCUCAAAGAUUGAUCUGAAGGUCUUUCUUUGGUUGUAACUAAUUUUUUGGAGAGGGUUAGAAAGAAAGGAUGGCAUGGGGCCCAAAUAACACUUGAAGUGGGGUGACACUUACAAUUUUUGGAAUCGACUCAAACAAUGAGGAUACCUCAUGCCCCAGUUUAUUUUGACUAGGUGACUAUAAAUUGUUUAUUUGGUUGGACCGAGCCUCGGGUAGAGGAGCCUACGUAUCUCACCCCCGAGAGAAGAGAAUCAGGUCAUGCGUAGUUCUGACAGCUUGUUCUUUUACUUGAUUCUGAUUAUUUUUCCUUUUAUUGACUUUUUCUCUUUGGAACUUUUCUGACUCUAUUUUUCUGAAUAGAUUUUUACGAGACCUGCGAAGAGGAUAAUUUGUAAAAAAAAAAAAAAAACCAUACUUUUAGUUGACUUUCAUUCUAUAUAUUUCCAACAGUGAUUCGAAUCCAUAUUCUCUACUAAUUCUAGGUAGACACAAGCAACCACAUAUCGUAAUAUACAAGAUGAGUAACGAGUGAUGCGAGACGAGAUGAUUUGUAUAUUCCUAAAACUCAAUCUGUAAAUAAUAUAAAGAGAGUAGAUGAAACAAAUAUGCACCUAAAAGGGCGAUGUACAGUUGUGUGACUCCUCUAACUCAUAUGUAUUUGGUAAAAUAUAAAACAGGGGAGGAUAAACUCGUCACACUAAACAUCCAUAUAUUGAACAGUCGACAAUUUAAAACAAGGCCCCAUAUUCAGGAAUCGUAUUCGCAGAGAACAAGAAACAACACCAACAUAUACUUAAAAGCCAAAUAAGUUACAUAUUAACAUAGCCAAAAUAUAUGUAAGAGAAAAGGGAUGAAGGCCGAGUGAUGACCUUGUUUUGAGCAGCAAACUUGAGGCUUCAACGUCAAGUUUCCGGCUUGAGCUCGACUUUGGAACUCAAUCUCGGAAUCAAGAAAAUACCAAAGAUUUUUUAAAAAAUUGAAUGUGUGCUCUCCCCUCUCCGAAUUUGAAAUCUUAAUUUUCUCUCUUAUCCCCCGAAACCGUGAACCCCGUUUUGAACCUUUCUCAACGAAGUCCCUUUAUUUCGGAUUUCCCCCAAUUUUCUAAAUCUCCCUCUUCUAUUUUUGAACAUCCAAAAAACCCCCAAUCCAUUCACCCUCCAAUCAAAAACCUCCCCACCUCAAGAGUGAAAAAUGUAACUAUUUAUCGGCAAAUCCGGACUUGAAAGUCCGGAUUUGAAACCAAAAAUUUGCAGGGGCCAACGGGCAAAUCGAAGGGGAGGAAAUCAAAAUUUAAAAAUUGAAAGGGACCUCACAUACUCGAAAUUUCAAACGUUUCUCAUGCCUUAAUGGUGGAUUUCAAAAGACACCUCUAUUACUGCACCAAUUUGGGACUGUUUCUCUCUGAUUUCAGAGAUUCGUGGGUUGGACUUGGCCGAGAAGGGGAGAAUCUUGGUAGGCUAGCGGCAGGGGCGCGACAGCUAUUGCUGCUAGCCCCUCCGAUUUGGGUGAGAGAGAGGAAAUGGGAAGAGAAAGGAAAAAAGUCGUUUGAUUUUGUUUUGUUUUGGGAAGAGUUAUGCUGAUGGAACGUUGCUCCUUGGGAAAGGAAAAGCGUGUAUUUGCCUAGGGGAGAGGAAGACAGUUGUUUGUAUUGGUUCCUUGAUUAAUUUUGAUCCAUGAAUAAAUAUUCUAAAAAUAAUAGUAAAGUAUAUAUAAGCUGAUUUAAAAUUGAUUAUUUUGUUUUUAUGUUUUAGGUUUAUCAUUAAAAGUUUGUAUUAGAAGAGUCAAAGAUAGUAGAACAAAAAUAUUCUGGUCGAAAAAGAAUAGAUCAAUUUUCUUAUUUAUUUUCCUCCAAAUAAGAUGGUCUUUGUUUCAAUGACAAUACUUGUCAAAUUUGUCUUUCGGAGUUUUAAAAAAAAUGUGUUUGUACUCCCAUG
rnacentral:lncRNA from 1 species